GGUUCUAAUCCAAUUAGUAGUAAGUAUUUUCUUUUUUAUUUAAUAGUCUCUGACUAUCAUUAAAUAAAGGGUAGAGCAAUUCUUUUUUCUAGAGAUUCUAGAGAAAGUGAGACAAAGUGAAGCGAAAGAGUUUUCUUUGUAUAAGAAUUAGGUCUAUAUCAUAUCUAAAUAGAAGGGAAAUCAAAAAGAAGGGAAGUGGUGGGUUAGCCUCUAGUGGCUAAAGAUAUAAACUUAGAUUAGUAAGUUGUUUUGAAAAUCCCUAGAAUCAAGGAGAGUUUUGGAAAUCCCUAGAAUCAAGGAGAGCCUUCUCCAUUUCGGUUGGGCCAUUGGCUAUAUAUGCUUGUAAUCGCUUGACAAUCAAUUAAGGAAGAAUUAUAUCCUUAAUCUCUCUCUGUGUGUGUUAAACCUGCGGUUGAGGGGGGGAUAACCUCACUGGAGAGGACGACAGAUGGCUACGAGCUGCGUAGCCACGGUCCGGCUAGUCGGGGGCUCGACGCCCUUGACAUCAAAUAGUUUGUGGAUAAAACUAAAAACGAUCCAAAAAAUAAAAUAUGGAAGAGCACAUCUAUGAAAAAAAGGACAGAUGAAUGGAAAUUUUCAGACACAUGUAAAAACAGACAAGUGAGGAGCUUUGGGUUAUCUUACAAAGCACUUGGUGAAUGGACCCCCAGUAUGAAGGGUCUCCUUAAGGAUGGAGUUUGUAUUAACAAUGCUCUUCAAAAUAACUGUAAUGCUGUCUUCGUUGCUGCAAUAAGCAAGGCAACUCAUGAUCACAAGGUUAUUCUGAAUCACCAAACUAAAAUGAGGAUAAACAUAGUAGCUCUUAAGAAAUAGAAGGCAAACCUUGUUCUACUAUUACCAACAACAACAGAAGGCCGUAUAGGAACAGGUGGCACUGCAAUCUCUGUCACAAUAAGUUUCUCUGGCCUAUCACCAAGGUUUAGUAAUUCACAAUCCUGCAGAAAAAUGAAAAAAGAGUAAACUUUUGUCAACAAAACUGCGACAAGUUCAAAUUGCAAAAUAGCAUCUAAUGUGAGGCAACCAAUGUGGCUUGGGGCAACUUGUUAGAUAGGUUUAAUGUUUUCUCCAGCUCACUUGCCUGUCCUAGUGUUAUUGAGCACUAAAACAGGGAGUAGCAGAACACAUCAAAUGGUCCUUCUUCACUUAAGACCCUUGAAGGAUGAAAAUUGGCACCAACCUCAUCAAUCAUUCUUCUGAAUAGAGAUAGAACAGUUGCAGGGUCUAACACUAGAACUGAACUAGCAGACACCUUUUCUUUCUUAUUUUGUAGUGCAUUCUUCAAUUCUUCUGUAUGUCCAUCCAAAACUUUGCUACAAUCAUGAACUACUAUCAAGCCCGCUCUGCCUUUUUUAACUACACCUGUUUUUACAACAAAAACAGGAAAGAGUUGACUGUUGAGCGAUUUCUUGCAAAUGUUAGCUUACAAACAACAGUCAGGUAUCAGUAGUGACAUUACAAGGUAAAAUUAUUAUGGACAAUAUAGGAUGGCUUACCAUUUCUGUAAUCACAACGGGGGCAGCAGGAUAGUUUGCAUUUGUCCCUCACUUUUUUCAUUGUAGCACUUUUCUGUAGUGCAUCUGCCCUGGGAUUUCUCAUCUUCUUUAGAAACUCCCUGCGGUCUUUCUCGAUAAGAAGAACUCUACUACAGCUCUGGAAAGGCAUGAGGGAACGAGAAUAAUUAACAAGUCAGAGUUCAAGUGUUCAGCCCACCCAUGAUGUAAACUUCUUCAUGGCAGUACCUUGCAGAUGCACUUCAACACGUCCAGAAUACAGUUAAAGAAGCCCACGUUAAAAACUGGAAGCGCGAGCUUCAAGUAGCCGAAAUGACCUGGACAGUCACUAAAUUCACCAUGGCAGGUAUUGCAUUUGCCUCUCUUAGUCGGGAUUCCCUGAAAUUUGACACGGGAAAAAUAAGUUGCAACAACUUGAACGAUGCCACAAACGCACGUUUAUGUUAGAACUCCCAUCUUCAAAUCAUCAAUGAAAAUACACAUGACGAAACAGCAAUACCGAGCGGGGCAUUACCAUUCGCGGGUCGAGCAACCCAUUGGGAACCGGCGUCAUGUCGCGGUCAUAGAUCCGGUUGUUCCAGACCUGUACCUCCGCUGACUUGCGAAUCUCGCUGCCCGAGAGCACGCUGAACCGGAUGCUCUUUCUGACAUCAAAAGCAACCAAACGUAACAGGGAAGCGGCAGAGUAAGUGUAAUCGUCGAGCUACGAUUCAUUAAACGGGACGCGAGCCGCAUGCUUACAUCCUCCGGGUGCCGACGUCCUCGAUGAAGGGUUCCUUGGUGCAGCGCAGCUUCUCCUCCGGCUUCGCCAUCACUUGAUGCGUUGCUCUGUACGGAUUAGAGUAGGGACUAGGUAUGCUGGGGAGUGAAGGGCGGCGGGCGGCGGGAGACGAGCACCGUAGUUUCGUCUCGAGCCGCCGCCGGCUAUUCUCCGGCGAGGAGUCCUCUGCACAGAAAGCGGAGGUGGAAGCAGCUUAGGCGGCGGCGGCGGCGGCGCGGGAGACCUAGAUCACUUUUACCUUACUGAUGACUUAAAUAAGUAAGGGUAAACUGAUAUUAUAUAUUGUCCCGUUCAAAUUUAUAAAAACAUUUGACUUUUUUUCUUUAAAUUUAAAUUUAAUAUAAAAAUCAGAGAUUAUUUAAACUGAUAUUAUAUAUUGUCUCGUUCUCAAAUAUUGUGAAUCAAAAACAAGUCAACACGAUUAUCAAACAUUAAGGACAUUUGUCUUUGAAAUAUUAUCUCCUCUCGGAUAUAAUGAUCUCCAGACGAAGAUCAUUGAUGACACGUCUUCAUGGUUCAUAAGAGUUUAUAUGCAUGAGUUGUUUUAUCCAUUAAUAUAUUUAUUCCAUGAUAAACAUAUAAAUAUUAUUAGAAUUUAUAUUACAUUGAUAUCUUCGGCUUGUUUGAAGGUGAUAACACGAGAGCAAUUACAAUCCAACGUGAACAGUAUGAGGGUACUGUUCAUCUAUUUAUAGGCAACUAUAAAAGUUUGUGUGCUAUUACAUUUAUGCCCUCGACAAUUACAUACAGAGUUUGCAAAAUGUUACAAGAGCAGUAUCGUCAUUUGUAUUUACUAACUUGAGCAACACCUUCUCCUCAUGUUGUAUAUCUGUUUCACCGUGAUGAAGCAUGUUGGACGAAGCUCACUUCGCUCCUCUUGUGUUAUGUCGAAGCUUUUCUGGUGACGAAGCUCUUGUAAUAUCUAAUAGUAUAUUGAAAGCAAAUGGUUAACCGCGUUUUUGACGACCUUUAGAAGAGGAAGGCCCCCAACAAUAACAUCGCUUGCAUUGCUAGGCAAACAAGGAAAACUGCUACUCUGUCCCGCCUAACCUAAGAGAUGGAUUAGUAUUAGGAAGAUUCAAUUCAAAAUACACAAAUAGUCGUUGAACACAUCACAACAACAAAAAAAAUAAUGAAUUUUAGCUAAAACACUCGUACUAUAAAAGUACACACAAUUAGUAGUACUAGUGUUGCACCGACUAAAUAGCUAUGAUAGAGAUGACCAUUAUUAAUCUAAUAAGAGUACAAAUUUCAAAUGUUGAAUGGCUAGACCACCUCUCUUGGUUUUGUGUUGCUGCAUGUUCUGAACUUUUUCCAUUGUAGAGGCAACAUGAAUAGUCGCUCAUCGACUCUUCAUAAUUGACUCUUCAUAAUUGUAGCAUCGCUUGCAUUGCUAGGCAACAAGGAGAAAUUGUUGCUCUAUCCAACCUAGCAUAAGAGAUGGAUUAGCAUUAGGAAGAUUCAAUUCAAAAUACACAAAUAGUCGUUGAACACAUCACAACAAAGAUAUUAGUGAAUUUUAGCUAAAGCACAUGUAUUAGUGGCUACCAGGGGCACUAUGGAAGUAGAGCCUAUUUUUUCUGAAAUUGCAACUCUGGUUCAUCAGUUGUCUGUUGUUCCUCACUAGAAAUCUGAAAUUUUGUUCAUUACAUAUAGCAAAGAUCAUGCAAACAGGACACCUGACUGCGAACACAAGGUUGACUUGUCCCUUGUGAUUCGGGUUGAUGAUGAUUGAUUGUCAGCGGGUAGCACUACAGGGUAGUCAGUGGACUGACCAGAGUGUGAGAUUAUGUUUGUGCAACCAUUUCGGUCGUCUUGUGGUGUGCAGGUGUGGAGCAUAGGGAUGGUGGUCAACGACUGAUGUGAAGGUCAUGCAGACUCGUCCUGAUGGACCGAGAGCGGUGAAGGCGAGUGUUGGGUCUUGACUGACGGACCAGAGCAGCCGGGUGACCAGUCGCGGUGGCUGACACCUAGGACACUGAAAGGGAAAUGUGCCCUUGGAUCAUUUCUAUAAAUAUUUUAGUGAUUAGAUGUUGAACACAUAUUGUUUUGUGCUAAGUGUCAAAGAGAUGCAAAUGGAAAAACAAGGUAUGACUCUAGCCUUAGUAAAUUGUUUUUGGUACUAACAUAUUCUUCUAAGUGCUAGAAACCUUGGCAAAUCGAGAGAAAUCAGAUUGGGGAACUCGCAUCAGCCUACGUUACACCGGACUGUCUAGUGUGCACCGGGCAGUGUCCGGUGCCCAGGCUGACGCGCCGGCAAACAGGCAGCUCUCGGGAUAAACUCAGCGUGCCACAACUAUAGUUCACCGGACUGUCCGGUGAGUCAGCCGCACCCACGCCAACGGGCAGCCACGCGAUCAGCGGGCGACACGUGGACUUCACCAAUGGUCGAAUGGUCACACCGGACUGUCAUGUGUGCCACCAGACUGUCCGGUGUGCCACGAGGGUCGAUGGCUGCAACGGUCGGCUUCACCAGAAAAGGAAGGAAAUCGUGCACUAUUCACUGUUUGGUGAUGCACCGGACUGUCAGGUGUGCCCACGGACAGAAGGCAACAAUGGCCUUCCAAAAUGGAGCUCCAACGGCUCCUAGCUUCCUUGGGGCUAUAAAAGGGACCCCUAGGCGUAUGGAGCAGGACACCAAGCCUCCAUUGAACAUCCUAAGACGCCUAGACCCCACAAACACGCAUUCGACUCAUUGUGUUUGAGAUCUUAGCACUUUUCUGAGUUGUGACUCUGUUGCGCUAUGUUGUGUACUCGAUUCUUGACUUGUGUGCGUGUUAUUACUACGACUCUAGCUCUUAUGUGUGUUUAUUUUCCCUCCCUUACUCUUGUGGUUGAAUUGUGAUCAAUCUUGUAAGGGUGUGAAAGGGAAAUAGGGUUAACCUUUUCCCGGUAUUAAUUUUGGUGGUUGAAUGCCCAACACAAAUAUUGGACUAACUAGUUUGCUCUAGAGUAUAUGAUCUACAGGUGCAUAAAGGUUCAACACAAACCAAUAAAAGAUUGAAGAUAGGGUUCAAAUACAAAGGAGCAAAGGAACCGAGAGUGCCCUGGUCUGGCGCACCGGACUGUUCGGUGUGCCACCGGACAGUGUCCGGUGCACCAGGACCAUACAAUCCCAAACCAGCCACUCUCGGGUUUUCGCCAGCGCGCUCCACUAUAAUUCACCGGACUGUCCGGUGUGCCACCGGACUGUCCAGUGUACCAGCGGAGUAACGGCUAUCCAGCGCAACAGUCGACUGCAACGUCGCCUGACAUCGCUAAAGUGAAGAACAGUGUGCGCGCAGAGUCAGAGGCGCACCGGACAGUGAACAGUGCCUGUCCGGUGCGGCACCGGACUGUCCGGUGCCACUAGAAGACAAAGCCUCCAACGAUUGACUGCUCUCGAACCCUAACGGUUGGGUGACGUGGCUGGCGCACCAGACUGUCCGGUGCGCCCAUCGACAGCAGCCUGCCCCAACGGUCAAAUUGGUGGUUUAGGGCUAUAAAUACCUCCCAACCACCACCACUCCAACCAUCCAAACAUUCCACACAUUGCAUUCAAUACAAGAGCGAUAGACUUCACUCCAAGACACAAAUCAAAGCAAUCGAUCCACUCGAAGUCCCAAAUUCAACUCUAGCGCAUUAGGGCUUGUGAGAGGAUCACUUGUGUUUCUUGUUGCUCUUGUUUGCUUGGUUGGCUUUCUUUUCUUUUCAUUUGUUACUCUCAAGUGCUUUGUAAGCAAGGCAAGAGACACCAAUUGUGUGGUGGUCCUUGCAGGGUCUAAGUGACCCGUGAGAAGUAAGAAGAAAGCUCAUUCGGUCUAAGUGACCGUUUGAGAGAGGGAAAGGGUUGAAAGAGACCCGAUCUUUGUGACCACCUCAACGAGGACUAGGUUCUUUAGAACUGAACCUCGGUAAAACAAAUCACCGUGUUCAUCCACUUUAUUUUUUUGGUUGAUUUGUUUUUCCCUAUCUUUCGAACUCGAAUUUAAUUCUAACGCUAUCCCCGGCUUGUAGUGUGCGCUUAAGUUUAUAAUUUUCAGAUUCCGCCUAUUCACCCCCCUCUAGGCGACUUUCAAUUGGUAUCAGAGCCUGGCGGUUCAUUAGAGUCUAACAACUCGAAGUGAUGUCGGGAGGAUCCGCCAAGAGGGAGAUAGAAACCGGCGAGAAGGCCACAAGCCAUGGGAAGGCUCCAUCAAGGGAGUCUGGCACCAAAGCCAAAGAGGGAUCCCCUCUCCACGUCAAGUCGCAUCGGAGUGGCGACAAGAAGAAGAAGAUGAAGAAAGUGGUCUACUACGAGACCGAUUCUUCGUCGCCCUCCACAUCCGGCUCCGACACGCCGUUCGUCACUUCUAAGCGCCAUGAGCGCAAGAAGUUUAGUAAGAUCCCCUUACGCUAUCCACGCAUUUCCAAACGCACUCCUUUACUUUCCGUCCCACUAGGCAAACCACCGGUCUUUAACGGUGAAGAUUAUUGUAUGUGGAGUGAUAAAAUGAGGCACCAUCUAACCUCACUCCACGCUAGCAUUUGGGAUAUUGUUGAGUUUGGUGCGCAGGAACCAUCCGUGGGGGAUGAAGGCUAUGAUUCGGACGAGGUAGCCCAAAUCCAACACUUCAACUCCCAAGCCACUACUAUACUCCUCGCCUCUCUAAGUCGAGAGGAGUAUAAUAAGGUACAAGGGUUGAAGAGUGCCAAAUAGAUUUGGGACAUGCUCAAGAUCGCGCACGAAGGAGACGAGGUGACCAAGAUCACCAAGCGAGAGACGAUCGAGGGGGAGCUCGGUCGAUUCAUGCUUUACCAAGGGGAGGAGCCACAAGCCAUGUAUAACCGGCUCAAGACCUUGGUGAACCAAGUGCGCAACCUCGGGAGCACCAAAUGGGAUGACCAUGAGAUGGUCAAGGUUAUUCUUAGAUCACUCGUUUUCCUUAACCCUACUCAAGUUCAAUUAAUUCGUGGUGAUCCAAGAUAUAAACUAAUGUCUCCCGAGGAAGUGAUAGGAAAGUUUGUGAGCUUUGAGCUAAUGAUCAAAGGCUCCAAACAAAUCAUUGAGCGAGGCGCCUCCUCCACACCCGAGGUACAACCCGUCACAUUCAAGGCGACAGAGGAGAAGAAAGAAGAGUCUACAUCAAGUAGACUCCCCAUCGACGCCUCCAAACUCGACAACGAGGAGAUGGCGCUCAUCAUCAAGAGCUUCCACCAAAUCCUCAAGCAAAGGAGGGGGAAUGAUUACAAACCCCGCUCCAAGAAGGUUUGCUACAAAUGUGGUAAGCCUGGUCAUUUCAUUGCUAAAUGUCCAUUAUCAAGUGAUAGUGACAGGGGCGAUGACAAGAAGGGAAGAAGGAAGGAGAAGAAGAAGUAUUACAAGAAGAAGGGCGGCGAUGCCCAUGUUUGCCGGGAGUGGGACUCCGAUGAGAGCUCCACCGACUCCUCCUCCGACGAGGAUGUCGCAAACAUCGCCGUCAACAAGGGUCUCCUCUUCCCCAACGUCGGCCACAAGUGCCUCAUGGCAAGGGACGACAAAACGAAGGUAAAAUCUAGAGCCUCCACUAAAUAUGCAACAUCUAGUGAUGAGGAGAACUCUAGUGAUGAUGAGGAUAAUUUAGUUGCCCUUUUUGCCAACCUAAAUAUGCAACAAAAGGAAAAAUUAAAUGAAUUGAUAGGUGCUAUUCAUGAGAAGGAUGAACUCUUGGAUAGCCAAGAGGACUUCCUAAUUAAGGAAAAUAAGAAGUAUGUUAAGGUUAAGAAUGCUUAUGCUCAGGAGAUAGAAAAAUGUGAGAAAUUGACUAAUGAGCUUAGCACUUGCCAUGAUAUCAUAUCCAACCUUAGAAAUGAUAAUGCCAAAUUAAUUGCUAAGGUUGAGAAGUUAAAUGUUUGUGAUGAUUCUUUUGCCAAUCUUAAAAAUGAUAAUGCUAGUUUACUUGCUAAGAUUGACAAAUUAAAUGAAUCAAUUUCUAGCCUUAAAACUGAGAAUGACAAAUUAAUUGCUAAGGCUAAGAAUUUAAAUGUUUGCAAUGAUAUUGUUUCAAAUCUUAGAAAUGAAAAUGUCAUGUUACAUGCUAAGAUUGAUGAGUUUAAUGUUUGCAAACCCUCUACAUCUAUCAUUGAGCAUGUAUCUAUUUGCACUAGAUGUAGAGAUGUUAAUGUCGAUGCUAUCCAUGAUCACAUUGCUAUGAUUAAACAACAAAAUGAUCACAUAGCAAAAUUAGAUGCUAAAAUUGUCGAGCAUGAAUUAGAGAAUGAAAAAUUUAAAUUUGCUCGUAGUAUGCUUUAUAGUGGGAGACGCCCUGGCAUUAAGGAUGGCAUUGGCUUCCAACAGGGAGGCAAUGUCAAGCUUAAUGCCCCUAAGAAAUUGCCUAAUUUUGUUAAGGGCAAAGCUCCCAUGGCUCAGGAUAACGAGGGUUACAUUUUAUACCAUGCCGGUUAUCCCGAGCACAAAAUUAGGAGAAUUCACUCUAGGAAGUCUCACUCUGGCUCUAAUCAUGCUUUUAUGUAUAAGAGUGAGGCAUCUAGCUCUAGGCAAUCAACCCAUGUUAAAUUACCUAAAAAGAAAUCUCCUAUAGCAUCAAAUGAACCUAAUAUUUCAUUUAAGACUUUUGAUGCUUCUUAUGUGCUCACUAACAAAUCAGGCAAAGUAGUUGCCAAAUAUGUUGGGGUCAAACACAAGGGAUCGAAGACUUGUGUUUGGGUACCCAAGGUGCUUGUUUCUAAUGUGAAAGGACCCAAGACCAUUUGGGUACCUAAGAACAAGGCCUAAAUUUGUUUUGUAGGUUUAUGCAUCCGGGGGCUCAAGUUGGAUCAUUGAUAGCGGGUGCACAAACCACAUGACUGGGGAGAAAAGGAUGUUCUCCUCCUAUGAGAAAAAACAUGAUCCCCAAAGAGCUAUCACAUUCGGGGAUGAAAAUCAAGGUUUGGUCAAAGGACUUGGUAAAAUUGCUAUAUCACCUGACCAUUCCAUUUCCAAUGUUUUUCUUGUAGAUUCUUUAGAUUAUAACUUGCUUUCAGUUUCUCAAUUAUGCAAAAUACGCUACAAUUGUAUUUUUAGGGAUAUAGGUGUUACUGUCUUUAGAAGAAGUGAUGAUUCAGUAGUGUCGGCAUUUCAAACCCGGGGGGUCCCUGGACCGACGAGUAAAUUAUCGCCGCGUGCCCCAGUCCAGAUGGAUCGGCGCGAGACGGAGCGCGAAGGGGGGAAGCAGCCGGAGGGAGACAGGCGUGAGAGGUGAAAUCCCGCGGCCUUCGUGUUUGUCCUGCGCCCAGGUCGGGUGCACUUGCAGUAGGGGGUUACAAGCGUCCACGCGGGAGGGAGCGAGCGGCCUUGCGCGAGCGCCGUCCCGUCCUUCCCCAUGCGGCCAACCCUCUCUAAGAGGGCCCUGAACCUUCCUUUUAUAGGCGUAAGGAAAGGAUCCAGGUGUACAAUGGGGGGUGUAGCAGUGUGCUAACAUGUCUAGCGGAGGAGAGCUAGCGCCCUAAGUACAUGCCAUCGUGGCAGCCGGAGAGGUUUCGGCACCCGGUUGGUGUGGUGUCGUGGCCGUCGGAGGAGCGUUGGAGCCUGGCGGAAGGACAACUGUCGGGGCUGUCGGGUCCUUGCUGACGUCCUCUUGCUUCCGUAAGGGGGCUGAGAGCCGCCGUCGUCAUAGAACAUGCGGGGCGCCAUCAUUACUUGUCUGGCGAAGCGAGCCAGAUGGGACACCGGUCCUGUUCCCCGUAGCCUGAGUCAGCUUGGGGUAGGGUAAUGAUGGCGCCUCCUGUGACGUGGUCGGUCCGAGCCCUGAGUUGGGCGAGGUGGAGGCUCCUCCGAGGUCGAAGUCGAGUCUGUCUUCCGAGGCCGAAGUCGAGUCCGAGCCCCUGGGUCGGGCGAGGCGGAGACCGUCGGCUGAGGCCAGGGCUGAGUCCGAGCCCUGGGGUCGGGCGAAGCGGAGUUCGUCUCUUCCGGGGCUGAGCCCGAGUCCGAGCCCUGGGGUCGGGCGAAGCGGAGUUCGUUUCUUCCGGGGCUGAGCCCGAGUCCGAGCCCUGGGGUCGGGCGAAGCGGAGUUCGUCAUCUUCUGGGGCUGAGCCCGAGUCCGAGCCCUGGGGUCGGGCAAAGCGGAGUUCGUCGUCUUCCGGGGCUGAGCCCGAGUCCGAGCCCUGGGGUCGGGCGAAGUGGAGUUCGUCGUCUUCUGGGGCUGAGCCCGAGUCCGAGCCCUGGAGUCGGGCAAAGCAGAGUUUCCUAUGGCGCCUGAGGCCGGACUUGGCUGCUGUCAGCCUCACUCUGUCGAGUGGCACGGUAGUCGGAGCGGCGCAGGCGGCGCUGUCCUCUUGUCAGGCCUGUCAGUGGAGCGGCGAAGUGACUACGGUCACUUCGGCUCUGUCAACUGGAGGACGCGCGUCAGGAUAAAGGUGUCAGGCCACCUUUGCAUUAAAUGCCCCUACGAUUUGGUCGGUUGGCGUGGCGAUUUGGUCAAGGUUGCUUCUUGGUGAAGACUGGGCCUCGGGCGAGCCGAAGGUGUGUCCGUUGCUGGAGGGGGUCCUCGGGCGAGACGUAGAUCCUCCGGGGUCGGCUGCCCUUGCCCGAGGCUGGGCUCGGGCGAGGCGGGAUCGUGUCCCUUGAAUGGACCGAUCCUUGACUUAAUCGCACCCAUCAGGCCUUUGCAGCUUUGUGCUGAUGGGGGUUACGAGCUGAGAUUUAGGAGUCUUGAGGGUACCCCUAAUUAUGGUCCCCGACAGUAGCCCCCGAGCCUCGAAGGGAGUGUUAAUACUCGCUUGGAGGCUUUUGUCGCACUUUUUUGCAAGGGGACCAGCCUUUCUCGGUUGCGUCUUGUUCUGGUGGGUGCGCGCGAGCGCACCCGCCGGGUGUAGCCCCCGAGGCCUCGGAGGAGUGGUUUGGCUCCUUCGAGGUCUUAAUGCAUUUUGUAAUGUUUCGGCAGGUCUGGUCGUUCCCUCAUGCGAGCUGGCCGUAGCCCGGGUGCACGGUCGGGUCCCAAGUUCUCGGGCUGGUAUGUUGACGCUGUCAACGGUUUGGCCGGAGCCGAGUUUGCGAGAGCAGCCCCCGAGCCUCCGCACAGGGCGAGAGGAUGGUCAAGGACAGACUCGACUUUUUUACAUACGCCCCUGCGUCGCCUUUCCACAAGGAGGAGGGGGAGAGCUCCAUGUUGCCCUUGGAGGGCGCCGAACAUGGUGUCUCCAGCGAGCUGCUGACGGGUAAUCCGAGUGGACGCCCGUGCCCCAUUUGUUAGGGGUCGGCUAGAGGCCCGGAGGCGCGCUCCAAAAGUACCUGCGGGUGAUCUUCCGGACCCGGUCCCCUUUUGAUGGGGUCCGAGGGCUCGAUGCCUCCCUCUGAUGGGAUUCCGUUACAAGAUCGUUCCCGCUGGUCUCGGAAAUGUCCUAGGGUACCUCGGGAGCGUAGCCCGAGCCUUGGUUAUGUAUCGAACGUACCCAGGGUCAUCCCUCGCUCUGCGUCUGAGGCGGCUGUGAACCCUUCGUGGGCCAGCCUACGAACCCCUAAUCAGUAGUGGGCGCGGAGCCCGAGUGGCCUGAGGCGGCCGUUGAACCCUUCCGAGGGGCCGGCCCUCGAACCUCUGACCAGUAGUGGGCGCGGAGCCCGAGCGCUCUGAGGCGGCUGUUGAACCCCUCUGAGGGGCCAGCCUUCGAACCUCUGAUCAGUAGGGGGGCUCGGGGUCCGUUUCCUUCGCGGAGAAGGAUCCCUUUCGGGGUAUCCCCCUUUCCCGGUCCCUGUUGUAAGAGAGAGAAAGAGGAAAGGGGAGAGAAUACGAAAUCGAGAUGAUGUGGCGCACCUUUUUGACGCGGUCAUUAUGGCGAAGGCGAAGCGUCGCUCGCUUCUCCUGCCAAAGGCGCCGCCUGUCCCGCCGCGGAGUUAAUGCGACGGGGUGAGUGGUUUGCGGGGCAGCCGUUGCGCGUGCGCGGUCCGUUCGAGGAACGGAACACGGGCGCGUCGUCUUCACACCGUGAGAGAGGGUUCUCUCGCUGUCCCACGAGGUGACGUGAGCUUGGCUGACGACGUGACCGCUGCUUCUGCCCGCCUGCCACCGCCAUUACUGCCGGCCCAUUUUUGGCUGCAUCGACCGUCUCGCCUUCUCCUGCGGCUGACUGGCCCGUGACCGAUGCGUCUGGCUAGCACUGUUGGGUCGUACGCAGAGUUGCCUCGAGUCGCGGUACUAGUUCCGCAGUCGAGGAGGCGCGGUAGUGGCACGAGUGGCGGUGCAGUUGCUCGCACGUAGCAACCGGCGCGCCGGUUGCAUGACGUGUGAGCCUAGGCCUCCAUGCUGGGCGCGUUGGAGUCGAAGGGGUGCGCCCACUUGGCGCGGUUGCAUGCCGACUGCAUGGUUGUCCGCCCUUUCACCCGCUGGUCUGGGCGAAAGUGGAGGAAUGCUUGUAACCGCUGGGCAGUUGCGUGUACCGCGCGCGGCGGUUUGGCUUCUUCUGCCCUGGGCCAGCUUGCAUGACGCGUGGGACCCAGCCCCCGUGUCGUAGGGGGAGGACCUUGGAGCGUGUUGGAGAAGACUCAGCCCUUGAUGGCUGAGGACGCAGGUGGGAAGAGUCGCCUUUAAAAGGAGGGUGAUCCCCUUGAAAGGCGACCAUGUCUUCGCACUCCCUUAUGCAUCGCGUCUUUCCACCUUCCGAGCCCCCGGAUGGGGAACACCCGCAAUCCUUCCACCUUGUCGUUGGAGGAACGCAACUUCGUGGAAGUUGGUACCUUUCAGCCAUCGUUCGGUUUCAAGGAUUUUCAUUAUGCAGCCCGGCCGCAUCCCCUCGCCGGCGGUCACCCAAGACGGUGACCACCAGCCCCUGGGUGGGGAGAAGCAAGCCGGGCUGCGAUCUUGGUCCCGCCCUCAGCUUCAAGGAUGUUCAUCAUCCUUGCUGGGGCGGAGGCCGGGCUGAGCCGGAGCUCUACCUCCCGCGCGGGUUCGUCGGUCAGCCUCUCCUUCAGCAUUUUUGGCACGGAGCCUGAACAUGUAUGUAUUUAUUUUUGGCACGGAGCCUGAACAUGCAAUGUCUUGUUCAUUGCGGCUGUCGGGGCCUGAACAUGUAUGUAUUUUUGGCACGGAGCCGUGUUUUUUCCUCAUUUUGAGCACUAAGACUCGCCUGUCGACUAUCUGAACCGCUUCACCAAGCGUGAGUCGCCUCGUGCAAAGGUGACGAGUGAGGUAUCCGUAUCCCGGAGGCGUAGGAGUCCCUCGGCUCGGUCGGCCUUGUCGUCCGAGGCUUCUCUUGCUUAGUUAAAGGAAACCCUCGGCCGCUCUUCGAUGAGCCUGAAAGUCGCCUAGAGGGGGGGUGAAUAGGGCGAAACUGAAAUUCUAAAAAAUAAUCACAACUACAAGCCGGGUUAGCGUUAGAAAUAUGAUAGAGUCCGCGAGAGAGGGUGCAAAACAAAUCGCAAGCGAAUAAUGAAGUGAGACACACAGAUUUGUUUUACCGAGGUUCGGUUCUCUCAAACCUACUCCCCGUUGAGGAGGCCACAAAGGCCGGGUCUCUUUCAACCCUUCCCUCUCUCAAACGGUCCCUCAGACCGAGUGAGCUUCUCUUCUCAAAUCACAUGGGAAUCAAAACUUCCCGCAAGGACCACCACACACUUGGUGUCUCUUGCCUCAAUUACAAGUGAGUGUUUGAUCACAAGAAAGAAUGACAAAGAAAAGAAGCGAUCCAAGUGCAAGAGCUCAAAUGAACACUACAAAUCACUCUCACUAGUCACUAAGGCUUUGUGUGGAGUUGAGAGAGGAUUUGAUCCUUUUUGGUGUGCUUUGCAAUGAAUGCUAGCUCCUGUAUAGUGGUUGGAAGCUGGAAAACUUGGAUGCAAUGAAUGGUGAGGUGGUUGGGGUAUUUAUAGCCUCAACCACCAAACUAGCCGUUUGCAGAGGCUGUCUGUUCGAUGGCGCACCGGACAGUCCGGUGCACACCGGACAUGUCCGGUGCGACAGCCACGUCACCAAAAGCCAUUGGGUUCGACCGUUGGAGCUCUGUCUUCUGGGCCCGCCUUGAUGUCCGGUGGCGCACCGGACAUGUACUGUAGAGUGUCCGGUGCGCCAGCAUGGGCGUGCCUGACCUCUGCGCGCGCUGGCGCGCAUUUAUUACGUCGCAGGUAGCCGUUGGCGCCUGAAGUAGCCGUUACCCCGCUGUUGCACCGGACAGUCCGGUGUACACCGGACAGUCCGGUGAAUUAUAGCGGAGUGGCCGAAGUGAAUUUCCGAGACUGGCGAGUUCCGGAGGCCGCUCUUCCUUGGAGCACCGGACACUGUCCGGUGUACACCGGACAGUCCGGUGAAUUAUAGCGGAGUCGCCUCUGGAAUUUCCUGAAGGUGAGCAGUUCGGAGUUGGAGUCCUCUGGUGCAUCGGACAUGUCCGGUGGCACACCGGACAGUCCGGUGCGCCAGACCAGAGGUGCCUUCGGUUGACCCUUGUUCCUUUGUUUGAACCCAAUACUUGGUCUUUUUAUUGGCUAAGUGUGAACCUUUGGCACCUGUAUAACUUAUAUACUUGAGCAAACUAGUUAGUCUAAAUAUUUGUGUUGGGCAAUUCAACCACCAAAAUUAAUUAGGGACUAGGUGUAAGCCUAAUUCCCUUUCAAUCUCCCCCUUUUUGGUGAUUGAUGCCAACACAAACCAAAGCAAAUGUAGAAGUGCAUAAUUGAACUAGUUUGCAUAAUGUAAGUGCAAAGGUUGCUUAGAGUUGAGCCAAUAAAUAUCACUUACUAGAUAUGCAUGGAUUGUUUCUUUAUAUUAACAUUUUGGACCACGCUUGCACCACAUGUUUUGUUUUUGCAAAUUCUUUUGUGAAUCCUUUUCAAAGUUCUUUUGCAAAUAGUCAAAGAUAAAUGAAUAAGAUUUUACAAAGCAUUUUCAAGAUUUGAAAUUUUCUCCCCCUGUUUCAAAUGCUUUUCCUUUGACUAAACAAAACUCCCCCUAAAUGAGAUCCUCCUCUUAGUGUUCAAGAGGGUUUUGAUGUAUCAUUUUUGAAAUACUACUUCCUCCCCCUUUUGAACAUAAUAAGAUACCAAUUUGAAAUUGAUCAAUUGAAAAUCUCCAAUUUUAAAAAUUAGGUGGUGGUGCAGUCCUUUUGCUUUGGGCUCAUAUUUUCUCCCCCUUUGGCAUGAAUCGCCAAAAACGGAAUCAUUAGAGCCCGUAGGAGUACUUUCUCCUCCUUUGGUCAUAAAAUAAAUGAGGGAAGAUUAUACCAAAGUUGGAGAGUGAUGCGGAGCGACGGCGAAGGAUGAGUAGUAGAGUGGAGUGGAAGCCUUGUCUUCGCCGAAGACUCCAAUUCUCUUUCAAUAUAUCUAUGACUUGGUUUGAAAUAGACUUGAAAACACAUUAGUCAUAGAAAAAAGAGACAUGAUCAAAGGUAUACUCAUGAGCUAUGUGUGCAAAUUAGCAAAAGAAAUUUCUCGAAUCAAGAAUAUUGAGCUCAUGCCUAAGUUUGGUAAAGGAUUGUUCAUCAAGUGGCUUGGUAAAGAUAUCGACUAAUUGAUCUUUAGUGUUAAUGUAUGAAAUCUCGAUAUCCCCCUUUUGUUGGUGAUCCCGAAGAAAAUGAUACCGAAUGGCUAUGUGUUUAGUGCAGCUAUGCUCAACAGGAUUAUCCGCCAUGCGGAUUGCACUCUCAUUAUCACAUAGAAGGGGAACUUUGGUUAAUUUGUAACCAUAGUCCCGCAGGGUUUGCCUCAUCCAAAGCAAUUGCGCGCAACAAUGGCCUGCGGCAAUAUACUCAGCUUCGGCGGUAGAAAGAGCGACCGGAUUUUGCUUCUUUGAAGCCCAAGACACCAAGGAUCUUCCCAAGAACUGGCAAGUCCCCGAUGUGCUCUUUCUAUUAAUCUUACACCCCGCCCAAUCGGCAUCCGAAUAUCCAAUCAAAUCAAAUGUGGAUCCCCGAGGGUACCAAAGCCCAAACUUAGGAGUAUAAGCAAAAUAUCUUAAGAUUCGUUUUACGGCCGUAAGGUGGGAUUCCUUAGGGUCGGAUUGGAAUCUUGCACACAUGCAAACGGAAAGCAUAAUGUCCGGUCGAGAUGCACAUAAAUAAAGCAAUGAACCAAUCAUCGACCGGUAUACCUUUUGAUCCACGGACUUACCUCCUGUGUCGAGGUCGAGAUGCCCAUUGGUUCUCAUGGGUGUCUUGAUGGGCUUGGCAUCCUUCAUUCCAAACUUGGUUAGAAUGUCUUGAGUGUACUUUGUUUGGCUAAUGAAGGUGCCCUCUUGGAGUUGCUUGACUUGGAAUCCUAGAAAAUACUUCAACUCCCCCAUCAUCGACAUCUCGAAUUUUUGUGUCAUGAUCCUACUAAAUUCUUCACAAGUAGAUUCGUUAGUAGACCCAAAUAUGAUAUCAUCAACAUAAAUUUGGCAUACGAACAAAUCAUUGUCAAAAGUUUUAGUGAACAAAGUAGGAUCGGCCUUGCCGACUUUGAAGCCAUUAGUAAUAAGGAAAUCUCUAAGGCAUUCAUACCAUGCUCUUGGGGCUUGCUUGAGCCCAUAAAGCGCCUUAGAGAGCUUAUAGACAUGGUUAGAAUACUCACUGUCUUCAAAGCCGGGAGGUUGCUCAACGUAGACCUCUUCCUUGAUUGGUCCAUUGAGGAAGGCACUCUUCACGUCCAUUUGGUAAAGCUUGAAGCCAUGGUAAGUAGCAUAGGCCAAUAAUAUACGAAUUGACUCAAGCCUAGCUACGGGUGCAUAGGUUUCACCAAAAUCCAAACCUUCGACUUGUGAAUACCCCUUGGCCACGAGUCGAGCUUUGUUCCUUGUCACCACACCAUGCUCGUCUUGCUUGUUGCGGAAGACCCACUUGGUUCCUACAACAUUUUGAUUAGGACGUGGAACUAAAUGCCAUACCUCGUUCCUCGUGAAAUUGUUGAGCUCCUCUUGCAUCGCCAUCACCCAAUCUGAAUCUUGGAGUGCUUCCUCUACCCUGUGUGGCUCAAUAGAGGAAACAAAAGAGUAAUGCUCACAAAAAUGUGCAACAUGAGAUCGAGUGGUUACCCCCUUAUGAAUGUCGCCAAGAAUGGUGUCGACGGGGUGAUCUCGUUGGAUUGCUUGGUGGACUCUUGGGUGUGGCGGCCUUGGUUGUUCAUCCUCCUUGUCUUCAUCAUUUACAUCUCCCCCUUGAUCAUUGUCGUCAUCUUGAGGUGGCUCAUUUAUUUGAUCUUCCCUUUCAUCAACUUGAGCCUCGUCCUUAUUUUGAGUUGGUGGGGAUGCUUGCAUGGAGGAGGAUGGUUGAUCUUGUGCAUUUGGAGGCUCUUUAGAUUCCUUAGGACAUACAUCCCCAAUGGACAUGUUCCUUAGCGCGAUGCACGGUGCCUGUUCUUCACCUAUCUCAUCAAGAUCAACUUGCUCUACUUGAGAGCCAUUAGUCUCAUCAAACACAACGUCACAAGAAACUUCAACAAGUCCUGAGGACUUGUUAAAGACUCUAUAUGCCCUUGUGUUUGAGUCAUAUCCUAGUAAAAAGCCUUCUACAGUUUUAGGAGCAAAUUUAGAUUUUCUACCUCUCUUAAUAAGAAUAAAGCAUUUGCUACCAAAAACUCUAAAAUAUGAAAUAUUUGGCUUUUUACCGGUUAGGAGUUCAUAGGAUGUCUUCUUGAGGAUUCGGUGUAGAUAUAACCGGUUGAUGGCGUAGCAGGCGGUGUUGACCGCCUUGGCCCAAAACCGAUCCGAUGUCUUGUACUCAUCAAGCAUGGUUCUUGCCAUGUCCAAUAGAGUUCGAUUCUUCCUCUCCACUACACCAUUUUGUUGUGGAGUGUAGGGAGAAGAGAACUCGUGCUUGAUCCCCUCCUCCUCAAGGAAGCCUUCAAUUUGAGAGUUCUUGAACUCCGUCCCGUUGUCGCUUCUAAUUUUCUUGAUCCUCAAGCCGAACUCAUUUUGAGCCCGUCUCAAGAAUCCCUUUAAGGUUUCUUGGGUAUGAGAUUUUUCCUGCAAAAAGAACACCCAAGUGAAGCGAGAAUAAUCAUCCACAAUAACUAGACAGUACUUACUCCCACCGAUGCUUAUGUAAGCGAUCGGGCCGAAUAGGUCCAUGUGUAGGAGCUCCAGUGGCCUGUCACUAGUCAUGAUGUUUUUGUGUGGAUGAUGGGAACCAACUUGCUUUCCUGCUUGGCAUGCGCUACAAAUCCUGUCUUUCUCAAAAUGAACAUUUGUUAGUCCCAAAAUAUGUUCUCCCUUUAGAAGCUUAUGAAGAUUCUUCAUUCCAACGUGGGCUAGUCGGCGAUGCCAGAGCCAACCCAUGUUAGUCUUAGCAAUUAAGCAUGUGUCGAGUUCAGCUCUAUCAAAAUCUACCAAGUAUAGCUGACCCUCUAACACACCCUUAAAUGCUAUUGAAUCAUCACUUCUUCUAAAGACAGUGACACCUACAUCAGUAAAGAGACAAUUGUAGCCCAUUUGACAUAAUUGGGAUACGGAAAGCAAAUUGUAAUCUAAAGAAUCUACAAGAAAAACUUUGGAAAUGGAAUGGUCAGGAGAUAUAGCUAUUUUACCCAAACCUUUGACCAAACCUUGGUUUCCAUCCCCGAAUGUGAUAGCUCGUUGGGGAUCUUGGUUUUUCUCAUAUGAGGAGAACAUCUCUGACCAAACCUUGGUUUCCAUCCCCGAAUGUGAUAGCUCGUUGGGGAUCUUGGUUUUUCUCAUAUGAGGAGAACAUCUUCUUCUCCCAUGUCAUGUGGUUUGUGCACCCGCUGUCGAGUAUCCAACUUGAGCCCCCCGGAUGCGUAAACCUACAAAACAAUUUUAGUUCUUGACUUUAGGUACCCAAACGGUUUUGGGUCCUUUGGCAUUAGAAACAAGAACUUUGGGUACCCAAACACAAGUCUUGGAGCCCUUGUGAUUGCCCCCAAUAAACUUGGCAACUACUUUGCCGGAUUUGUUAGUCAAAACAUAAGAUGCAUCAAAAGUUUUAAAUGAAAUGCUAUGAUCAUUUGAUGCAAUAGGAGUUUUCUUUCUAGGCAACUUAGCACGGGUUGGUUGCCUAGAGCUAGAUGUCUCACCCUUAUACAUAAAAGCAUGGUUAGAGCCAGAGUGAGACUUCCUAGAAUGAGUUCUCCUAAUUUUGCUCUCGGGAUAACCGGCAGGGUACAAAAUGUAACCCUCGUUAUCCUGAGGCAUGGGAGCCUUGCCCUUAACAAAGUUAGACAAGUUCUUAGGAGGGGCAUUAAGUUUAACAUUGUCUCCCCUUUGGAAUCCAAUGCCAUCCUUGAUGCCAGGGCGUCUCCCAUUAUAGAGCAUACUUCUAGCAAAUUUAAAUUUUUCAUUUUCUAAGUUUUGCUCGGCAAUUUUAGCAUCUAAUAGUGCUAUAUGAUCAUUUUGUUGUUUAAUUAAGACCAUAUGAGCAUGAAUAGCAUCAACAUCAAUAUCUCUACAUCUAGUACAAAUAGAAACACGCUCAACCUUAGAUGUAGAGGGUUUGCAAGAUUUUAAUUCAACAACCUUAGCAUGUAAUACAUCAUUCUCACUUCUAAGGUUGGAAAUAGUAACAUUGCAAACAUCAAAAUCUUUAGCCUUAGCAAUCAAAUUUUCAUUUUCUAUUCUAAGGCUAGCAAGAGAAUCAUUCAAUUCCUUAAUCUUAGCAAGCAAAUCAUCAUUAUCAUUACUAAGAUUGGGAAUUGAGGCAUUACAAACAUGUGAAUCAACCUUAGCAAUCAAUUUAGCAUUUUCACUUCUAAGGUUGGCAAUAGUGUCAUGGCAUGUGCUUAGCUCACUAGAUAAUUUGUCACAUUUUUCUACCUCUAGAGCAUAAGCAUUUUUAACCUUAACAUGUUUUUUGUUUUCCUUAAUAAGGAAGUCUUCUUGAGAGUCCAAGAGAUCAUCCUUCUCAUGAAUAGCACUAAUUAGUUCAUUUAAUUUUUCCUUUUGUUGCAUGUUAAGAUCGGCAAAAAGGGUACGCAAAUUAUUCUCCUCAUCACUAGCAUUAUCAUCACUAGAGGAUUCAUAUUUAGUGGAGGAUUUAGAUUUAACCUUCUUCUUUUUGCCGUCCUUUGCCAUGAGGCACUUGUGGCCGACGUUGGGGAAGAGGAGUCCCUUGGUGACGGCGAUGUUGGCGGCGUCCUCGUCGGAGGAGGACUCGGUGGAGCUCUCGUCGGAGUCCCACUCCCGGCAAACAUGGGCAUCGCCGCCCUUCUUCUUGUAGUACUUCUUCUUUUCUCUCCUCUUUCCCUUCUUGUCGUCGCCCCUGUCACUGUCACUAGAUAUAGGACAUUUUGCAAUAAAAUGACCGGGCUUACCACACUUGUAGCACACUUUCUUGGAGCGGGGUUUGUAGUCCUUCCCCCUCCGUUGCUUGAGGAUUUGGCGAAAGCUUUUGAUGAUUAAAGCCAUCUCCUCAUUGUCGAGCUUGGAGGCGUCAAUUGGUUGUCUACUUGGUGUAGACUCCUCCUUCUUUUCCUCCGUCGCCUUAAAUGCCACCGGUUGCGCCUCGGACGUGGAGGGUUCGUCAAGCUCGUUGAUCUUCUUUGAGCCUUUAAUCAUGCAUUCAAAGCUCACAAAAUUCCCGAUAACUUCCUCGGGAGUCAUUAGUGUGUAUCUAGGAUUACCACGAAUUAAUUGAACUUGAGUAGGGUUAAGGAAAAUAAGUGAUCUCAAAAUAACCUUAACUACUUCGUGGUCAUCCCAUUUCUUGCUCCCGAGGUUGCGCACUUGGUUCACCAAGGUUUUGAGCCGGUUGUACAUAUCUUGUGGCUCCUCCCCUUGGCGAAGACGGAAGCGACCGAGCUCCCCCUCGAUCGUUUCCCGCUUGGUGAUCUUGGUGAGUUCAUCACCCUCGUGCGCGGUCUUGAGUAGGUCCCAAAUCUCCUUUGCAUUCUUCAACCCUUGCACCUUGUUGUAUUCCUCCUUGCUUAGAGAGGCGAGGAGUAUGGUUGUAGCUUGUGAGUUGAAGUGCUCGAUUUAGGCCACUUCGUCCGUAUCAUAGUCUUCAUCCCCUACGGAUGGUACCUGUGCUCCAAACUCAACAACAUUCCAUAUACUUUUGUGGAGUGAGGUUAGAUGAAAUUUCAUUAAAUCACUCCACCUAGCAUAAUCUUCGCCAUCAAAAGUUGGCGGUUUGCCUAAUGGAACGGAAAGUAAAGGAGUAUGUCUAGAUGUACGAGGAUAGUGUAAGGGGAUCUUACUAAACUUCUUGCGCUCUUGGCGCUUAGAAGUUACGGACGGCGCAUCAGAGUCGGAGGUAGAUGUUGAUGAAGUGUCGGUCUCGUAGUAGACCACUUUCCUCAUCCUCUUGUGCUUGUCGCCUUUCCGAUGCGACUUGUGGGAAGAAGAUUUUUCCUUCUUCUCUUUGUGGUGAGAAGAAGAAGAUCUUUUCUCCUUCCGCUUGGAGGAGUUCUUCUUCUUCUCCUUCCUCUUGGUGUGGGACUCUUCCGAUGAAGUGCUCCCUUGGCUCGUAGUGGGCUUGUCGCCGGUCUACAUCUCCCUCUUGGUGUGAUCUCCCGACAUCACUUCGAGCGGUUAGGCUCUAAUGAAGCACUGGGUUCUGAUACCAAUUGAAAGUCGCCUAGAGGGGGGGUGAAUAGGGCGAAACUAAAAUUCUCAAAAAUAAUCACAACUACAAGCCGGGUUAGCGUUAGAAAUAUGAUAGAGUCCGCGAGAGAGGGUGCAAAACAAAUCGCAAGCGAAUAAUGAAGUGAGACACGCGGAUUUGUUUUACCGAGGUUCGGUUCUCUCAAACCUACUCCCCGUUGAGGAGGCCACAAAGGCCGGGUCUCUUUCAACCCUUCCCUCUCUCAAACGGUCCCUCGGACCGAGUGAGCUUCUCUUCUCAAAUCACAUGGGAAUCAAAACUUCCCGCAAGGACCACCACACACUUGGUGUCUCUUGCCUCAAUUACAAGUGAGUGUUUGAUCACAAGAAAGAAUGACAAAGAAAAGAAGCGAUCCAAGUGCAAGAGCUCAAAUGAACACUACAAAUCACUCUCACUAGUCACUAAGGCUUUGUGUGGAGUUGAGAGAGGAUUUGAUCCUUUUUGGUGUGCUUUGCAAUGAAUGAUAGCUCCUGUAUAGUGGUUGGAAGCUGGAAAACUUGGAUACAAUGAAUGGUGAGGUGGUUGGGGUAUUUAUAGCCUCAACCACCAAACUAGCCGUUUGCAGAGGCUGUCUGUUCGAUGGCGCACCGGACAGUCCGGUGCACACCGGACAUGUCCGGUGCGACAGCCACGUCACCAAAAGCCGUUGGGUUCGACCGUUGGAGCUCUGUCUUCUGGGCCCGCCUUGAUGUCCGGUGGCGCACCGGACAUGUACUGUAGAGUGUCCGGUGCGCCAGCAUGGGCGUGCCUGACCUCUGCGCGCGCUGGUGCACAUUUAUUACGUCGCAGGUAGCCGUUGGCGCCUGAAGUAGCCGUUACCCCGCUGUUGCACCGGACAGUCCGGUGUACACCGGACAGUCCGGUGAAUUAUAGCGGAGUGGCCGAAGUGAAUUCUCGAGACUGGCGAGUUCCGGAGGCCGCUCUUCCUUGGAGCACCGGACACUGUCCGGUGUACACCGGACAGUCCGAUGAAUUAUAGCGGAGUCGCCUCUGGAAUUUCCUGAAGGUGAGCAGUUCGGAGUUGGAGUCCUCUGGUGCACCGGACAUGUCCGGUGGCACACCGGACAGUCCGGUGCGCCAGACCAGAGGUGCCUUCGGUUGACCCUUGUUCCUUUGUUUGAACCCAAUACUUGGUCUUUUUAUUGGCUAAGUGUGAACCUUUGGCACCUGUAUAACUUAUAUACUUGAGCAAACUAGUUAGUCUAAAUAUUUGUGUUGGGCAAUUCAACCACCAAAAUUAAUUAGGGACUAGGUGUAAGCCUAAUUCCCUUUCAGAGCCAAAGCCGGAGGUAGCGGCGUCAGCACGGACAGAGGCAGAGUUGGCUCAAAAAGAGGAUUUGGUCGGUCGGAGCCUGGCCGGGUCGUCCACUGGCGGGACCGACGCCGGAGUUGAGUUACCGAGGCCACAAACCGAGCUGAUGUCCUCGGGGGACAGCUGGCUAAGGCUUCGGGGUGACCGGCCCGAGCCAUCUGCUCGAGUCGGAUUCCUGGAGAAGGCCCUGGCAGCGAUGGCCCGGGCGUGGUGCUGAUGUCGUCCUUCAGAGUGGAGAUCCUCCGACCGCGUCGCCGUCUGAGGCUAGGUCGGGCCUCGCCGAAGGUGUAGUUGACACCGAGGGUGCUGCUGCUCCCUUCACUGUCAAGAUCCGAGCCUGCAGGAUCGGAUUAUCUUGUAGUGUGUGUAUGUUUUCCGCGGCCGCCGAGGCCCAAACACACCAUCAUCGUGUUGUAAAGCUGCGUUUCUUUUCCCCUUAUUUCGAGUAUCUGGACUUAUUUAUCGGUAACAGAAUUUGUUUGUGCGAGCGAGAGUUACUUUUCACGGAAGGUGAUGAGUGAGGUAUCCGUAUCUCAGAGGCGUAGGAAUCCCUCGGCUCGGUCGGCCUUGCCGCUUACGCGCACUCUUACUCGUCCAUAGGGUUCUGUCACCGACGUAGUCGAGAAGGCCCGAAAAAUCAUUUCGGCAGAGGAGCUUUCGAGCGUGAAGACUUGUUCGGUCCGCGGAAUCACCUAUCCGAGCGCGAGUUACUUAUCGCAGAAGGUGAUGAGUGAGGUAUCCGUAUCCUGGAGGCGUAGGAGUCCCUCGGCUCGGUCAGCCUUGACUGCUUACGUGUACUCCGUCGUUUUCAGGAUCCACUUUCGGAGUAACCGAAAAGCACGAAAGACAUUCUGGCGGAAAAGAUCUUUUUCCGAGGAAAAUUUUGAUGCAGAGGGGGUUCCCCCCUUUUAGCCCCCGAGGGAGGGUCGGGCUUUGCCGAGGCAAGGCUGACCCUUCCUUGAUGACUAAACUUUGCGUGGGAACGAGGUAUACGAACAACUUGAAAGCAUCUUAAGGGUAGAAGUGACGUAGCUGUUGUAUGUUCCAAGCGUUGUUGUAGACCUCGCCUUGACUGUUGGCCAGCUUGUAUGUUCCGAGCUUCAGAACCUUGGUGACGACGAACGACCCUUCCCAGGGAGGCGUGAGCUUGUGCCGCCCUCGGGCGUCUUGUCGCAGCCGAAGCACCAGGUCGCCCACCUGAAGGUCUCGGGACCGAACCCCUCGGGCGUGGUAGCGUCGCAGGGACUGCUGGUACCGCGUCGAGUGUAGUAAGGCCAUGUCCUGAGCCUCUUCCAGCUGGUCCAGUGAGUCUUCUCGAUUAGCUUGAUUGCUUUGGUCAGCGUAGGCCCUCGUCCUCAGGGAACCGUAUUCUAAGUCUGUGGGCAAGACGGCUUUGGCCCCAUAGACUAGAAAGAACGGUGUGAAGCCCGUGGCUCGGCUCGGCGUUGUCCUCAAACUCCAGACCUCUGAGGGGAGUUCCUUCAUCCAUCGCUUGCCGAACUUGUUGAGGUCGUUGUAGAUCUGCGGCUUGAGUCCUUGCAGGAUCAUGCUGUUGGCACGCUCUACUUGCCCAUUCGUCAUGGGGUGAGCCACGGCGGCCCACUCUACCCGGAUGUGGUGAUCCUCGCAGAAGUCUAGGAACUUUCUGCCGGUGAACUGGGUGCCGUUGUCGGUGAUGAUGGAGUUCGGGACCCCAAAGCUGUGACAGAACCUCCCAAGUAAUUAGGCCCACCUACAGUUGUCCUUGUCCAACGGACAUCAGACAACCCUGUAGGUGCCCCUGAACUACUUGACAAGCUCGGUAUCUUUCCUUACCUUACCAGGAACGUCUCACCCGUCUUGCAGACAUUACAGAACAUCGGAGAUAUGCGGAAGCAGUUACAUAAACUUACAUUUAUUUCAAAAGCAAGCUUGAGUUAUGUUAUUACAGACCAGACUAAACGUGAGUGCAGAGUAGUAAUAUUAUACAAACCAGGGGAGGCACAAACUCCUCCCGAUAAGUUUAACAAAAGAUCCUAAGUGGAGGACCGAAUCCUCCCGCACUUCAGUCUUCUUUUUCCUCGUUUGAUACCACCUUGGAGCAGAAGCAACAAAAGUUUGUCGCUUCCUCACCUAAAAACAACAAAGGGAUAAACCCUGAGUAUGGAAUACUCAGCAAGUCUUACCCGACUAAGGAAAAGACUCUCAAGGGUAUGCUGGAUAAGUAGGAGUCAAGGAGAGGCUUUAGCAAAAAUCAACUUAUAGUUUUGCAGAAGAAGCUUACUAAAGUGAGUCCUUACUUUCCAUCUUUUAAUGCCAUCUUAAGUAUUAAUAGACUCUAUUUGCAUCUAGUCUAAUUUCACAUCCAAUCAAGACAACAUUAGUUUUAUCCAUAGUGUUCACAUCCUGACUGUAGGUUGUAGAAAAGUGACCAAGUCUUCAUAACCGCGAAGGUACGGCGAUCCGAAUCGAUUAUACUCAGCUGAGGAUCUCCAAUCACACGACAUAUGUAGCACUUAACCCUUGCAUAUGUCAACCCGCCACCGGGGUUCUUAAGACCGGAUCAGGUUCACGCAAACCGAGAGCACAGAUACACCACCGUCCAGCCUCUUGCCACGGAGGGUACACGCUACUCUCGCCACCGCUCCACGCCCAUUUCGUGUUAUCUUAUUCCGACCUUAGUCUGCCCGAGGCAAGGCUUACCCAUGACGAGGCAUGUGACCAGUUAAAGGGUCCUCGGUCAGCACGCCUACAUACGCGUUAAUCCUUAACCAACUUGGGUAGAACAUCACCUGUUCCUAACCCAAGUCUCAAUUUAAGUAUUUCCAUCCUUAGGAUUGUGUCUGUUCCUUAGGAUGAAAGAGCAUCACAGGGAACUUUGCAGUAAGAUCCCACUUUUGCUCCAAAUGAAAAUAUUCUUGCAGGUAGAAGCCAUCCUCUCCAUGGUUAAAUUGAGGACAACUUCUAUCCACAAGAUCUAAGCAAGUCUAAGCAUUUUUGUAAAUCAUAUUUUGAUACUUCACAGAAGUAUCUAUAAAGGUAUGGAUAUCAAGGAAAGCAAUGCAUCAAAGGGUUUCAAGUAACUCCUAUGAACCUAAUGCACAUUUCACUAGACUUAAGUGUGCAAAAAGUAUUUAAAAACACAAGGAAAGGGGUGGCAUGCACCGGGGCUUGCCUUCGUUCACAGGUGAAUCAGGCUCAGAUCCACAGAUGUCAAAGUAGAAAUGAUUCCCGGCCUAAGACUCCGAAGGUGGUGGUGUCUCCUCUUCGGUAACUUCGAUUUCUUCCUCACGUUCUAAUCAUAACCAUACAUAUGUAUAAGAAUGGAUGCCAUGGGAUGCUCAUGAGGAUGCAAAGAUAGCAUAAACUUAUUAUUUAUGUCUUGAAUACAACUUUCCUUCACGGAGUUCCGGAGUCGGUAAAGGAGUUCAUAGGGCGGGGGGGGGGGGGGUGUUUUGGGGUUUGGUGAUCAAACAAGGUCCAAAUCAAUUCAAACUCUACCCAAGGCUUCUAAAUAGUGUAUAACACUCAUAUAAAAAUUUUGGGCAUUUUUGGACUUACCAAUUAUUUUCUAAAAAUCUAUAACCAACAUUUUUAACCACUUUAAAUACCCUAAAUUUUCUUACUUCCACUAAAAAUCACAAACUUAUUUUUAUUAAAUACUAUGGAAAAUAACAAACCUAGGAAAAUUAGUCUCAUAUUUUUAGGAUUUUUCUAAAUUUUUCUAUAAUUAUUUUGGCUCUGCUGUAAAAGAAAAAAGGAAAAUAUUCCAACAGUGAUGGGCCAGAUUCAGCCCAGCGGCCCAGUUCCAGAGGGAAAGCGCGCCCGUGCGCCCUGACGGUUUUGCAGAACGACCCCCGCGUUUUUAUCUAACAGCGAACGAGCCCUUUCACUAUUCCUGUGUGUCGCUGACCGAUCACAAAAAGGCCCCUGCGUUUCUUUCUAUUUCCGAUUGGAAGUCCACGACAGCGCUCGCGCACCGCCGUGCUCCGACGAGCAAGCAGAUCGGCCAGAAGGGACAACGGCUAGGGUUUUUGAGCAGCAGACACCAAAUUCAAGUCCUAAGGACUCUUUCCCCCCAAUCAAUUUCAUGCUUGGUGAUCUGCCAAGCUCUACCCGCGAGGACAGUGCACGGCGCGGAUAGGUGUUCGUGUUCCAAUCAAUUCAUGGCAGUUAAAUUCAAUUGGAUGGUUUGGAAAGCAUCAAGGACACACGAGAAUGUUAGAACAAGCAACAGAGCAACAUGAACUGACCUAAUUUGGGCUGGCCACGGUGAGACUUGUUUCACGGUGGCGGAGAGCGAGGUUGGGGGAAAUUCCGAAUUCGAGCAGAUGAGUGGAUGAUUGUGGCUGAUUAGCGGUGGUUAGCUAGCGAACUACCCCACGGAGCUAGACACGGGCUCAAUUUAUAGGAAGGAUGGGCGGUGGGCGCGAAUUUGGACGAGACACGCGGCGGUCGGAGGUGAAGAAGAAGCACUGGCCGCGUGAGUUCGUGGCCAACGGCGUGGCAGUAACUCCGGUGAGCCACGGAGACUUCAGAGGAGGUCACGGCGACACGGUAAAAGAGUUGAGCCACGCGGCGCACGGCCGGGAGGCGGCGGUCGACGGUGAACAUAUCCACAUCCACCGCGGUAAUGAUGGUACGGUGGCCGGAGUUGUUUAAUGGCCGAAGUUUAUCCCCGGCGGUGACCUCCAAGCGUUAUCCACACGGUCCGCACGAAUCACAGCAACGGAUCGACCACCGGCGACGACCUACCAGCGACGAGCCCGCCGCGCUGGCAACCUGAUCCACUCGGGUCUACUAGUACCAUGGCAAUCCUCAUUCAGAGCACCUGACAGCCGGAGUUGAGGGUCGAUUUUCUCCAAAUUUCACUUGGCGACUCACCCAAGUAUCUGCAUCAAAGUUGUAGUGCUACUUACCAACUACAAUUCGACUAUAGGGGCUACACUUAUUUGAGCACUGGAUCAAGGUCAAACUGGCUCUCAAACUUGGGUCUAGGCCACUGUUAGUCUGAAAUUCAGACAAUACUAGCCUGACAGCCUGACUUCAGGCUUAAUUACCUCCAAAAUUUUCUUAACAACUGUGCUCACACCUUUUAGCAAAGUUGUACUCCUAUAGUUGGGCUACAAUCUUGAUGUGGUGACCUAGGGCAAAAACCCUAUAAUUUGAAAGUGACAAAGCCCCAAAGUGGAGCCUUUAACACUAAAUUUCAGACUUGGUAUAGAACUCAAAUGAGGUCCAUUUUGCAUUUAAGUCCAAAACUUAGGGUUUGGCUUGUAAAUUCACAUAUUUGUGAACCAAAUGACUUUAUAUGUCAAAACAUAGUAGUUUUUACACUUUAGUCCAAAGGUUCAUCAUUUUUGCACAUAAGUCCCUAGGGUUUGGUUUUAGGGUUUUCUAGGGUUCCAAUUAGGGUUUCUGGUAUCUCAGGGGUACAAAAGUGAUUCAAGUUUAUUCUUAGGGUCAUUUUAUGACUUUUACCCUAAAGCUUUUUAGGUUUUCUUAACUUGGGUUAAGUUUUACCCCUUUAACCACUAUUUAGGGUUAAGUCCAUUAACCAGGGUUCCAUUUGCAAAAACAUUAAAACAAUACAACUUGUUUGAAAUUUUUGCCUAGUGAAUGCACUCUAGGUGUGUCACACAUAUGCAAUGCCAAUGCUAAUGAUGUCAUGCUCAAGUUUUAUUUAUAGUAACACCAGGGGUGUUACAUCCUUCCCCCCAUAAAAGAAUCUCGUCCCGAGAUUAAAAUCCUAGGGUAGGUAAUGGUAAAGGAAACACAUCACAUUUUUAUUUCCUUAAUUUUGGUACAAGGCAGGGGUAAUGUGGGGGUUACUUCUUUAUUACAACAGCUAUACAGGCUUUACAAUUUACAUGAGGCUAGAAAGCCUGGGAAAUUCUUAUCUAAAAAGUCUUGGGUUUCCCAUGUAGCCUCAUCUUCCGAAUGCUGGUUCCACUGUAUCUUGUAGAACUUAAGAGUCUUUCUUCGGGUGACCCUAUCCUUUUGAUCCAGAACUCGAAUAGGAUGCUCCGAGUAUGUUAAAUCUGGUUCCAGGACAACAUCAGUCACUUCAACGGUUCGAUCGGGAACCCGAAGACACUUCUUCAAUUGUGACACGUGGAACACAUUAUGCACAGUAGACAAGGUUUCGGGGAGCUGAAGUCGGUAUGCCACUGGUUCACAUUGCUCAAGCACCAGGAAUGGACCAAUGUAUCUGGGUGCAAGUUUCCCUUUUACCCCGAAACGCGAUACACCCUUCAUUGGUGAAACUUUUAAGUAGACAUAAUCGUCUACCAGAAAGCAUAAGGGUUGUCGUCGUCGGUCUGCAUAAUUCUUUUGUCGAGUCUGAGCUUUCUUCAUAUUAUGGAUAAUUCUCUGAACCUUUUCUUCGACCUCUUUCACCAUAUCAGGUCUAAAGAAGUAUCUUUCUCCAGGUUCAGACCAAUUUAGCGGAGUUCGACACCGUCGUCCAUAUAAAGCUUCAAAAGGUGCCAUCUUGAUACUUUCUUGAUAACUAUUAUUGUAUGAAAACUCCGCUAGGGGCAAACAUUCAUCCCAUUUUUGCGAGAAGUCCAGGACACAUGCCCGCAGCAUAUCUUCAAGUAUUUGGUUCACCCUCUCAGUCUGCCCACUGGUUUGAGGAUGAUAAGCCGAACUGUGGAGUAAUUUAGUACCCAAGGAGUUGUGAAGUGCUUCCCAGAACUUGGCUACAAAUUGAGGUCCACGAUCCGACACAAUGGUCUUCGGAACACCAUGCAGACUGAGAAUACAGGCAAUGUAUAAUGCUGCAUAAGUGGCUACUGUAUAUGUGACCUUGACAGGUAAGAAGUGGGCAAUCUUUGUGAGUCGAUCAACGAUAACCCAAAUAGAAUCAUACCCUUUGGCUGUCCUGGGCAGUCCCACAAUAAAGUCCAUACUGAUGUCUUCCCAUUUCCAUGUUGGGAUUGGCAAAGAUUGUAAUGGACCAGCAGUUUUCAUGUGUAUGGCCUUGACACGUCUGCAAGUGUCACACUUCGCCACAUAGCGUGCAAUUUCGAUUUUCAUCUUUGUCCACCAAUAAUGUUGCUUUAAGUCUUGAUACAUCUUAGUGCUUCCGGGAUGAAUAGAAUAGCGACUAAGAUGUGCCUCAUCAAGAAUUUGCUGGCGGAGUUCUUCGUUCUUUGGCACUACUAUGCGGUUUUUAAACCAUAUCACACCUUGAUCGUCUUCCUUGAAACACUUGGCUACUCCAGCCUUUAUCUUCUCUCGAAUGUGCUUCAUACCCAGAUUAUCCUUUUGAGCAUCAAUUAUUCUUUGCAAAAUGAUUGACUCAAGCUUUAGUUGAUUUAGAGUCCCUUGUUGGAUGAUCCCUAGGUUUAGCUUUUCCAUUUCUUGACACAAAGUGUUCUCGGAGGUCUUUGCCAUAAGACAGUGGCAGGAAGUCUUACGACUCAAUGCAUCUGCCACCACAUUGGCCUUGCCUGGGUGAUAAUGGAUCUCCAGUUCAUAGUCUUUAAUGAGCUCAAGCCAUCGUCUUUGCCUCAUAUUUAACUCUGACUGGGUGAAGAUGUACUUCAAACUUUUAUGAUCUGUAUAUAUGUGACAGAUAUUUCCCAGCAGAUAGUGACGCCAAAUCUUUAGGGCAUGAACCACAGCAGCUAGCUCCAGAUCAUGAGUUGGAUAGUGCUCCUCAUGUCGGCGCAACUGCCUUGAAGCAUACGCAAUCACUCGGUCCUCUUGCAUCAGUACACAGCCGAGCCCACUGCCAGAUGCAUCACAAUAUACGUCAAAAGGUUUAGUGAUGUCCGGUUGAGCCAAUACCGGAGCAGUGGUCAAUAGUGUCUUCAGUUGCUCAAAGGCUUCAUUACACUUAGAAGACCAAUUGAACUUAAUGUCAUUCUUCAAUAAACUUGUGAUUGGCUUCACAAGCUUAGAGAAAUCUGGUAUGAAUCUGCGAUAAUACCCAGCUAGUCCAAGAAAACUCCGGACUUGGUGAACAGUGGUUGGAGGUUUCCACUCCAGAAUAUCUUUGACCUUGCUAGGAUCUACCGCAAUUCCUUUAGCUGAUAACACGUGCCCCAAAAAUUGAAUUUCUUCCAGCCAGAACGCGCACUUGCUGAACUUGGCAUAUAGUUGGUGUUCCCUUAGGCGCGUCAAUACAAUCCGUAAAUGCUGAGCAUGGUCUUCUUCAUUCUUGGAAUAUAUCAAGAUAUCGUCGAUGAAGACUACCACGAACUUGUCCAAUUCGGGCAUGAACACCGAGUUCAUUAAAUAAGUGAAGUGGGCAGGAGCAUUUGUGAGCCCGAAAGACAUUACCAAGUAUUCAAACAAUCCAUACCGCGUAGUAAACGCGGUUUUCGGUAUAUCCUCGGGCCGAAUACGGAUUUGAUGAUAGCCCGACCUGAGAUCAAUUUUGGAAAAUACCCUCGCCCCAGUCAGCUGAUCAAAUAAGAUGUCGAUCCUUGGAAGAGGGUACUUAUUCUUGAUAGUGACCUCAUUUAGGGGUCGAUAAUCCACGCACAUUCGCAAGGUUUGAUCCUUCUUCUUAACAAAAAUGGCGGGACAACCCCACGGGGACGAGCUUGGCCGGAUGAAUCCCUUAUUCAAUAGAUCUUGUAAUUGAAUCUUUAAUUCCGCCAAUUCAUUAGGGGGCAUACGGUACGACCUUCGGGAGAUGGGAGCCGUACCGGGCUUUAGCUCAAUUACGAAUUCUACAUCUCUUUUAGGGGGCAGUCCAGGCAAAUCUUCCGGAAAUACAUCUGGAAACUCACAUACUACCGGAAUGUUCUUGAUCUCUGGUACAAUGGCUUCAUAGACUCUACCAGAAGUUUUGGCUGGAUUGGUUGCGGGGAGAGUCAAAAGAAUCUCUUCUUGGUUAUAGCUCAACCUGACGGUCCUGAGUUCAGUGUUGAGAAUUGCCUUGUGUUGGGUUAACCAAUUCAUACCCAAGAUUACAUCUAUAUCCUGGCCCUUCAGAACAAUCAUGUUAGCAGGAAAGUUCCGUCCGGCCAUUGUUAUUGGCACUCCAUAGGCCACUUCUUUAGUAUAAAUGUGUCCCCCAGGUGAAUGAAUUUUAAAUCCCUCCUUUGAUUCAUGGUAUGCAAUAUGAUAUUGUUCCACAAACUUCUUGCUAAUAAAUGUAUGUGAAGCACCAGAAUCAAAAAGAAUAAUUGCUGGGUGACUGGCCACGGGAAACGUACCCAUCAUCACCGGCUCUCCUUCCGGUGUAGUAGCCACUUGAGUGUAAUAUAUACGCCCUGUCUUCUUCGUAUUUUUCCCCAUAGCAUUUCCUUUAGGCUGAGCUAAUUUCCCAGAUCCUUGCGAAGCAUUAGAUUGAUUUUGCCUAGGAUAUGGGCAGUCUUUGAUGAAGUGUCCCGACUUGCCGCAAUUAAAACACCCAGUUGAAGAACUAGGCAAGGCAGGAAAUCAAGUGCCUAGGGCACCCGGCUGUUUUGGGGUAGUGGGGGCAUUGUUGGGGCGGAUAAUGAUUGGCUGUUUGAAGGGAAAUGAAGGUGGACGAGAAAAAGGGCGAUUUUGGCUUGAAGGUCGGAUCACAAACCGUGGUUUCUUCGCCUGGCCCUGACUAGGCCUCUCACCACCGAAUCCCUUAUUCUUCCCAGAAUUUGUGUAUUUGGCUUCAACAGAUAAGGCUGUGCUGACAGCCUUUCCAUACGUGAGAUCUAUGCAUGUGGCCAUUUUCCUUUGUAGCCGAUCAUUCAGUCCCCGCAUAAAACAGUUCUUCUUCUUUAAAUCCGUAUUCACCUGGUCAAUGGCAUACUGCGAUAGGUGAUUGAAUUUGUUGAGAUAUUGGUUGACGGUAUCUCCACCUUGUUGUAACUUCAUAAACUCCUCUUGUUUCAUAUGUAGCACUCCUUCGGGGAUGUAGUGUUCACGGAAGGCUGCUUUAAACUCAUCCCAAGUGACUUGAUGGUUGACAGGUUGGAUAGCCACAAAAUUUCCCCACCAGGUACUGGCAGGACCACGGAGUUGUUGUGCGGCGAAUAACGGCUUCUGCGUUUCUGAGCAACGGAGAAGACCAAACUUUUGCUCAAUAACCCGAAUCCACUCGUCAGCUUCUAGGGGAUCUUCUGCCUUGACGAAUAGAGGUGGACGGGUUUCCGAGAAAUCCAGAUAGGUGGUCUCAUGAGGGCCUUGCGGAAAACCCCUUCCUGCUUGCUGCUGGAAUUGCUGCUGACCCGCCAUUUCCCUAAGGAAGCGGGUAUUGUCCGCGGUGGCAUUCACCAAGGCGGCGAUCGCCUCGGCUAACGUGGGAGGAACUGGAGGUGGGUUUGGGGUAACAUCCCGUCCCCCAGAAGUUCCUGCUGCGUCCUGUCCUCGAGUCCUGGUCGGCAUCUGUGGCAAAAACAUUUGAAGUAAACAAAAUGUGCCAGAGAAAACCUUCCAUUAUACAUUACUAUAAAAAGUAAUGAUACAGACUCGAUAUUACAUAACAGGAUACAAUACCCAUUAUACAAAAGUUCAACCUAUUAUACAACAGUACACCCUACAAUACCCUACCAUACACUACUCUACUUCUAUUACACCUUUAUUCCUUCUUGCCAUUACUCUUGGCGGCUUCAUCGUCAGGUGUGGGAGUCCAGACAUCAACCAACCUCAAAGAAGGAGGGGGCUCAAAAAGGUCUAACUCCCCACCCAGCGCACGUCCCGCAACGUGAGAUGGUCCAGCUUCCGCCUCAGCAGGUUGUGCAGGCUCACUUGGGUGUAGUUGUGAGUAUAGUAUAUGGACUUCCUCGUGCAACGUGUUGCAGUAAACCUGCAGGUUAUCAACAGUCGAGCUAAGUUCUUUAACUCGGGCCUGAGCCCUUGUUUCCUUAGCACACAUUAGCAAACGAGACUGUACGGCCCAGUCAAGUGCUAAGUCUCGAUCAGCGAGUUGAUCCUGCAAGUGUCGGAUGUCCCUUCUCAGUUCGUUGAUUCUAUCUCCGUCGGCGACCCAAGCAUCAGUCCUAUGUUGCAGCACCGCUUGAAGUCGACUCACCCGGGCUUCAAGGUCUCCGAUGGGGUCGUUACUUCCACUGCUGCUGCUUUCAUGUCGGGGAGCCAAUUGAUGCCGAGGCACCCCAAUUGGUCCCGUAGACUUGCGUGCCGUUAGCCUGGUGCGUGGCGGCAUCUUUUCUAAGGGGGAAAAUGUUAUUAGUAAGAUUCUUAGCAUGAUGCAUGUAUAAUUACAGAAUCAACCUUAGUCAAUUCAACCUUCUAUAUGUUGCACUCUUCCUAUCUGGUCUUUAAAAUAGACUCUUCAGAAUACUUAGGUAAGAAGAGAAAAGAAUUUUUAGGUAAGACUUUUGAAAAUCCUUUUGAAGAUGCCUCAUAAUAUCUGCAAAGAAGGGCUACGCUCCGAUACCAGCUGUGACAGAACCUCCCAAGUAAUUAGGCCCACCUACAGUUGUCCUUGUCCAACGGACAUCAGACAACCCUGUAGGUGCCCCUGAACUACUUGACAAGCUCGGUAUCUUUCCUUACCUUACCAGGAACGUCUCACCCGUCUUGCAGACAUUACAGAACAUCGGAGAUAUGCGGAAGCAGUUACAUAAACUUACAUUUAUUUCAAAAGCAAGCUUGAGUUAUGUUAUUACAGACCAGACUAAACGUGAGUGCAGAGUAGUAAUAUUAUACAAACCAGGGGAGGCACAAACUCCUCCCGAUAAGUUUAACAAAAGAUCCUAAGUGGAGGACCGAAUCCUCCCGCACUUCAGUCUUCUUUUUCCUCGUUUGAUACCACCUUGGAGCAGAAGCAACAAAAGUUUGUCGCUUCCUCACCUAAAAACAACAAAGGGAUAAACCCUGAGUAUGGAAUACUCAGCAAGUCUUACCCGACUAAGGAAAAGACUCUCAAGGGUAUGCUGGAUAAGUAGGAGUCAAGGAGAGGCUUUAGCAAAAAUCAACUUAUAGUUUUGCAGAAGAAGCUUACUAAAGUGAGUCCUUACUUUCCAUCUUUUAAUGCCAUCUUAAGUAUUAAUAGACUCUAUUUGCAUCUAGUCUAAUUUCACAUCCAAUCAAGACAACAUUAGUUUUAUCCAUAGUGUUCACAUCCUGACUGUAGGUUGUAGAAAAGUGACCAAGUCUUCAUAACCGCGAAGGUACGGCGAUCCGAAUCGAUUAUACUCAGCUGAGGAUCUCCAAUCACACGACAUAUGUAGCACUUAACCCUUGCAUAUGUCAACCCGCCACCGGGGUUCUUAAGACCGGAUCAGGUUCAUGCAAACCGAGAGCACAGAUACACCACCGUCCAGCCUCUUGCCACGGAGGGUACACGCUACUCUCGCCACCGCUCCACGCCCAUUUCGUGUUAUCUUAUUCCGGCCUUAGUCUGCCCGAGGCAAGGCUUACCCAUGACGAGGCAUGUGACCAGUUAAAGGGUCCUCGGUCAGCACGCCUACAUACGCGUUAAUCCUUAACCAACUUGGGUAGAACAUCACCUGUUCCUAACCCAAGUCUCAAUUUAAGUAUUUCCAUCCUUAGGAUUGUGUCUGUUCCUUAGAAUGAAAGAGCAUCACAGGGAACUUUGCAGUAAGAUCCCACUUUUGCUCCAAAUGAAAAUAUUCUUGCAGGUAGAAGCCAUCCUCUCCAUGGUUAAAUUGAGGACAACUUCUAUCCACAAGAUCUAAGCAAGUCUAAGCAUUUUUGUAAAUCAUAUUUUGAUACUUCACAGAAGUAUCUAUAAAGGUAUGGAUAUCAAGGAAAGCAAUGCAUCAAAGGGUUUCAAGUAACUCCUAUGAACCUAAUGCACAUUUCACUAGACUUAAGUGUGCAAAAAGUAUUUAAAAACAUAAGGAAAGGGGUGGCAUGCACCGGGGCUUGCCUUCGUUCACAGGUGAAUCAGGCUCAGAUCCACAGAUGUCAAAGUAGAAAUGAUUCCCGGCCUGAGACUCCGAAGGUGGUGGUGUCUCCUCUUCGGUAACUUCGAUUUCUUCCUCACGUUCUAAUCAUAACCAUACAUAUGUAUAAGAAUGGAUGCCAUGGGAUGCUCAUGAGGAUGCAAAGAUAGCAUAAACUUAUUAUUUAUGUCUUGAAUACAACUUUCCUUCACGGAGUUCCGGGAACUUAGGGUUUCCGGAGUCGGUAAAGGAGUUCAUAGGGCGGGGGGGGGGGGGGGGGGUGUUUUGGGGUUUGGUGAUCAAACAAGGUCCAAAUCAAUUCAAACUCUACCCAAGGCUUCUAAAUAGUGUAUAACACUCAUAUAAAAAUUUUGGGCAUUUUUGGACUUACCAAUUAUUUUCUAAAAAUCUAUAACCAACAUUUUUAACCACUUUAAAUACCCUAAAAUUUCUUACUUCCACUAAAAAUCACAAACUUAUUUUUAUUAAAUACUAUGGAAAAUAACAGACCUAGGAAAAUUAGUCUCAUAUUUUUAGGAUUUUUCUACAUUUUUCUAUAAUUGUUUUGGCUCUGCUGUAAAAGAAAAAAGGAAAAUAUUCCAACAGUGAUGGGCCAGAUUCAGCUCAGCGGCCCAGUUCCAGAGGGAAAGCGCGCCCGCGCGCCCUGACGGUUUUGCAGAACGACCCCCGCGUUUUUAUCUAACAGCGAACGAGCCCUUUCACUAUUCCUGUGUGUCGCUGACCGAUCACAAAAAGGCCCCUGCGUUUCUUUCUAUUUCCGAUUGGAAGUCCACGACGGCGCUCGCGCACCGCCGUGCUCCGACGAGCAAGCAGAUCGGCCAGAAGGGACAACGGCUAGGGUUUUUGAGCAGCAGACACCAAAUUCAAGUCCUAAGGACUCUUUCCCCCCAAUCAAUUUCAUGCUUGGUGAUCUGCCAAGCUCUGCCCGCGAGGACAAUGCACGGCGCGGAUAGGUGUUCGUGUUCCAAUCAAUUCAUGGCAGUUAAAUUCAAUUGGAUGGUUUGGAAAGCAUCAAGGACACACGAGAAUGUUAGAACAAGCAACAGAGCAACAUGAACUGACCUAAUUUGGGCUGGCCACGGUGAGACUUGUUUCACGGUGGCGGAGAGCGAGGUUGGGGGAAAUUCCGAAUUCGAGCAGAUGAGUGGAUGAUUGUGGCUGAUUAGCGGUGGUUAGCUAGCGAACUACCCCACGGAGCUGGACACGGGCUCAAUUUAUAGGAAGGAUGGGCGGUGGUCGCGAAUUUGGACGAGACACGCGGCGGUCGGAGGUGAAGAAGAAGCACUGGCCGCGUGAGUUCGUGGCCAACGGCGUGGCAGUAACUCCGGUGAGCCACGGAGACUUCAGAGGAGGUCACGGCGACACGGUAAAAGAGUUGAGCCACGCGGCGCACGGCCGGGAGGCGGCGGUCGACGGUGAACAUAUCCACAUCCGCCGCGGUAACGAUGGUACGGUGGCCGGAGUUGUUUAAUGGCUGAAGUUUAUCCCCGGCGGUGACCUCCAAGCGUUAUCCACACGGUCCGCACGAAUCACAGCAACGGAUCGACCACCGGCGACGACCUACCAGCGACGAGCCCGCCGCGCUGGCAACCUGAUCCACUCGGGUCUACUGUACCAUGGCAAUCCUCAUUCAGAGCACCUGACAGCCGGAGUUGAGGGUCGAUUUUCUCCAAAUUUCACUUGGCGACUCACCCAAGUAUCUGCAUCAAAGUUGUAGUGCUACUUACCAACUACAAUUCGACUAUAGGGGCUACACUUAUUUGAGCACUGGAUCAAGGUCAAACUGGCUCUCAAACUUGGGUCUAGGCCACUGUUAGUCUGAAAUUCAGACAAUACUAGCCCGACAGCCUGACUUCAGGCUUAAUUACCUCCAAAAUUUUCUUAACAACUGUGCUCACACCUUUUAGCAAAGUUGUACUCCUAUAGUUGGGCUACAAUCUUGAUGUGGUGACCUAGGGCAAAAACCCUAUAAUUUGAAAGUGACAAAGCCCCAAAGUGGAGCCUUUAACACUAAAUUUCAGACUUGGUAUAGAACUCAAAUGAGGUCCAUUUUGCAUUUAAGUCCAAAACUUAGGGUUUGGCUUGUAAAUUCACAUAUUUGUGAACCAAAUGACUUUAUAUGUCAAAACAUAGUAGUUUUUACACUUUAGUCCAAAGGUUCAUCAUUUUUGCACAUAAGUCCCUAGGGUUUGGUUUUAGGGUUUUCUAGGGUUCCAAUUAGGGUUUCUGGUAUCCCAGGGGUACAAAAGUGAUUCAAGUUUAUUCUUAGGGUCAUUUUAUGACUUUUACCCUAAAGCUUUUUAGGUUUUCUUAACUUGGGUUAAGUUUUACCCCUUUAACCACUAUUUAGGGUUAAGUCCAUUAACCAGGGUUCCAUUUGCAAAAACAUUAAAACAAUACAACUUGUUUGAAAUUUUUGCCUAGUGAAUGCACUCUAGGUGUGUCACACAUAUGCAAUGCCAAUGCUUAUGAUGUCAUGCUCAAGUUUUAGUUAUAGUAACACCAGGGGUGUUACAAAAGCGAUGGAUGAUGUUGGUGAAGAACGCCACUGCCUGUUCGGACCUGAUGCUGUUUAGGGGUCGGACCUCGAUCCACUUGGAGAAUUUGUCGAUGGUGACCAACAGGUGCGUGUAGCCCCCGGGUGCCUUCUGCAAGGGGCCGACGAGGUCCAGACCCCACACAGCAAAAGGCCAGGUGAUGGGUAUCGUCUGUAGGGCCUGAGCGGGCAGGUGGGUCUGCCUUGCGUAGAACUGACACCCUUCGCAGGUGCGGACAAUUCUUGUGGCGUCGGCCACCGCCGUCGGCCAGUAGAAACCUUGUCGGAAGGCGUUUCCAACAAGGGCUCGAGGUGCUGCGUGAUGGCCGCAAGCCCCCGAGUGUAUCUCUUGUAGGAGCUCCUCAGACCAAACGGCAUGGUAACAUAGCAGUACAUGCCGAAGGGUGUGAUGAAAGAAUUCGCGAGCUGGUCAGACUCUUUCAUCUUGAUCUGGUGAUACCUCGAGUAGGCAUCGAGGAAAGACAGGGUUUCGCACCCAGUAGUGGAAUCCACGAUUUGAUCGAUGCGAGGCAGAGGGUAGGGAACUUUCGGACAUGCUUUGUUUAGACCAGUGUAGUCUACACACAUCCGCCAUUUCCCUCCUUUCUUUCUCACAAGCAGAGGGUUGGCAAGCCAUUCGGGAUGGAAUACCUCUUUGAUGAACACUGCCGCCAUUAGCUUGUGGAUCUCCUCGCCUAUAGCUCUGCGCUUUUCUUCGUCGAAUCGGCGCAGAGGCUGCUUCACGGGUCGGGCUCCAGCUCGGAUAUCCAGUGAGUGCUCGGCGACAUCCCUCGGUAUGCCGGGCAUGUCCGAGGGACUCCACGCGAAAACGUCGGCGUUUGCGCGGAGAAAGUCGACGAGCACUGCUUCCUAUUUGGGAUCGAGCUCGGAGCCGAUCCGGAUUUGCUUGGAGGCGUCGUUGCUGGGGUCGAGAGGGACGGAUUUAACCGUUUCCGCUGGCUCGAAGUUGUCGGCGUGGCGCUUCACGUCUGGCACCUCCUUAGAGAGGCUCUCCAGGUCGGCGAUGAGGGCCUCGGAUUCGGCGAGGGCCUUGGCGUACUCCACGCACUCCAUGUCGCAUUCGUACGCGUGUCGGUACAUGGGGCCGACGGUGAUGACCCCGUUGGGGCCCGACAUCUUGAGCUUGAGGUAGGUGUAGUUGGGGACGACCAUGAACUUGGCGUAGCAUGGCCUCCCCAGCACUGCGUGGUAGGUUCCUCGAAACCCGACCACCUCGAACGUGAGGGUCUCCCUUCGGAAGUUGGAGGGCGUCCCAAAGCAGACGGGUAGAUCGAGUUGUCCGAGGGGAUGGACGCGUUUCCCGGGGAUGAUCCCAUGAAAAGGCGCAGCGCCUGCCCGGACCGAGGAUAGAUCAAUCCACAGGAGCCCGCGGGUCUCGGCGUAGAUGAUGUUGAGGCUGCUGCCUCCGUCCAUGAGGACCUUGGUGAGCCUGACGUUGCCGAUGACGGGGUCGACAACGAGCGGGUAUUUCCCCGGGCUCGGCACACGGUCAGGAUGGUCGCCCUAGUCGAAGGUGAUGGGCUUGUCGGACCAGUGUAGGUAGACUAGCGCCACCACCUUUACCGAGCAGACCUCCCGACGCUCUUGCUUGCGGUGCCGAGCUGAGGUGUUCGCCACUCGCCCACCAUAGAUCAUGUAGCAGUCGUGGACCUCGGGGAACUCUCCUGCCUUGUGAUCUUCCUUCUUAUCGUCGUCGCGAGCCCUGCCACCCUCUGCGGGUGGCCCGACCUUAUGAAAGUGGCGCCGAAGCAUGGCGCACUCCUCGAGGGUGUGCUUGACGGGCCCCUGAUGAUAGGGGCACGGCUCCUUGAGCAUCUUGUCGAAGAGGUUGGCACCUCCGGGAGGUUUCCGAGGGUUUUUGUACUCGGCGGCGGCGACAAGGUCCGCGUCGGCGGCGUCACGUUUCGCUUGUGACUUCUUCUUGCCUUUCUUCUUGGCUCCGCGCUGGGUUGACGCCUCGGGGACAUCUUCCGGUGGGCGGCCCUGGGGCUGCUUGUCCUUCCGGAAGAUGGCCUCAAUCGCCUCCUGGCCAGAGGCGAACUUGGUGGCGAUGUCCAUCAGCUCGCUCGCCCUAGUGGGGGUCUUGCGACCCAGCUUGCUCACCAGGUCGCGGCAGGUGGUGCCGGCGAGGAACGCGCCGAUGACAUCCGAAUCGGUGAUGUUGGGCAGCUCGGUGCGCUGCUUCGAGAAUCGCCGGAUGUAGUCCCGGAGAGACUCUCCCAGCUGCUGUCAGCAGCUUCGGAGAUUCCAGGAGUUUCCAGGGCGCACGUAUGUGCCCUGGAAGUUGCCGGCGAAGGCUUGGACCAGGUCGUCCCAGUUGGAGAUCUGCCCCGGAGGCAGGUGCUCCAACCAGGCCCGAGCGGUAUCAGAGAGGAACAGGGGGAGGUUGCGGAUGAUGAGGUUGUCAUCGUCCGUUCCACCCAGUUGGCAGGCCAGCCGGUAGUCCGCGAGCCACAGUUCCAGUCUCGUCUCCCCCGAGUACUUUGUGAUAGUAGUCGGGGUUCGGAACCGAGUCAGGAACGGCGCCCGUCGUAUGGCACGGCUGAAAGCCUGUGGACCGGGUGGUUCGGGCGAGGGACUCCAAUCCUCCCCGCUGUCGUAGCGUCCCCCAUGCCUGGGGUGGUAGCCUCGGCGCACCCUCUCGUCGAGGUGGGCCCGACGGUUGCGGUGAUGGUGCUCGUUGCCGAGGCGACCCGGGGCCACAGGCGUUGUGUUGCGCGUGCGCCCGGUGUGGACCGAGGCUUCCCGCAUGAAUCGGGAAGUCGCGACGCGAUGUUCCGAGGGGCGCCCCUGCCUUCGGGAGGCGGAGCUUUCGGCCUGUCGGACCGCGGCGUCCUCCAGGAGAUUCUUGAGCUCUCCCUGGAUACGUCGCCCCUCGGUGGUUGAUGGCUCCGGCAUCGCGCGGAGAAGUAUUGCCGCUGCAGCCAGGUUCUGGCCGACUCCGCUGGAAGUGGGUGGCGGCCUUACCCUGACGUCGUCGGCGAUGCGAUGCUGGAAGCCCUGGGGGAGAUGACGCGCUUCUCCGGGCGGAGGUUGGCCCGUCCAUUCCUGCCCGAGCUCAAGUGUUCCUGCUCCCCCGUCGUCGGCUCAAGUGUUCCUGCUCCCCCGUCGAGCCUGGCCUGCAUCUCGCGGAUUUGCUCAAGCUGUGGGUCAGGACCCCCCGCCGGGACGGGGACCACAGCUAGCUCCCGAAGGAUGUCAACACGAGGUACAGGCCUAGGGAGAUCACCGUUCUCCGACAUACCAAGAUGGUUGCCUUCGUCGGGAUCCCCUAGAUCGAUGUGGAAACAUUCACGACUUGGGCCACAGUCCUCGUUGCCGAGGCUGCGGCUACCGUCGGAACAAUCAGAAAGGCAAUAGUCGCACGCGGUCAUAAAGUCCCGCAUGGCACUGGGGUUACCAAGUCCAGAGAAAUCCCAACAGAAGUCGAGCUCGUCAUCUUCCUCGGACCCCGAGGGCCCGUAGGUCGAGACGACCGUCAGCCGGUCCCAGGGUGACCGCAUACGACACCCCAGAGGGUUUGGACUCGCCUCUAUGAGAGCGUCCACCGAAGCGAAGUCGCUUGGUGGGUCGAGGCUGAAUCCAAAAGGCGCGAGAUGGGAAUCGGUCGGUACCUCUUGGUCGACGGGCGGUGACGAAGUCACGUCAGGGACUGACCGCACCGUCGUCUCAGGUACAAGGGUGACGCCCAGCAAGUCCUUCGCGAGCGUGCUGGCGUCGUCCGUUUGCUUGGGGUUGGCGUGUUGCGGGGAGACGACGCUCGUCUUCGUCUCAGACGCGAGGUCGGUGCUCGACGUGCCCCCCGCUGAGGCGCCGGCGCCGUCAACUCGCUCGACAGCCGACGAGGUGCCGCCUCCUGCUUGGCCUUGGUUGCCCCGCCCCCUCCUCCGUCGGUGGGGGAGGGGACGGGACAAGCCCGAAUGUUGUUCUUCCACCACGCGGGGAAGGCGUCGUCGAUUCCGCCGCCGGCGGGCGGGCUGUCGGCCGCCAUUGUCGCUGUCGCGCGGCGGGGGAAGAAGUAUCAUGUCGUAGCUGCCGUCGUGGGACAUGAACUCAAGACUCCCGAAACGGAGCACCGUCCCGGGCUGGAAAGGUUGCUGGAGACUGCCCAUCUGGAGCUUGACGGGAAGCUGUUCGUCAACACGCAAUAGGCCCCUACCUGGCGCGCCAACUGUCGGUGUUUCGAACCCGGGGGGUCCCUGGACCGAUGAGUAAAUUAUCGCCGCGUGCCCCAGCCCAGAUGGGUCGGCGCGAGACGGAGCGCGAAGGGGGGAAGCAGCCGGAGGGAGACAGGCGUGAGAGGUGAAAUCCCGCGGCCUUCGUGUUUGUCCCGCGCCCAGGUCGGGUGCGCUUGCAGUAGGGGGUUACAAGCGUCCACGCGGGAGGGAGCGAGCGGCCCUGCGCGAGCGCCGUCCCGUCCUUCCCCGCGCGACCAACUGAUAGUCGCCUAGAGGGGGGGGGGUGAAUAGGGCGAAACUGAAAUUUACAAAUAUAAACACAACUACAAGCCUGGUUAGCGUUAGAGAUAAUAACGAGUCCGAGAGAAAGGGCGCAAAACAAAUCGCAAGCAAAUGAAGAGUGUGACACAUGGAUUUGUUUUACCGAGGUUCGGUUCUUGCAAACCUACUCCCCGUUGAGGAGGCCACAAAGGCCGGGUCUCUUUCAACCCUUACCCUCUCUCAAACGGUCCCUCGGACCGAGUGAGCUUCUCUUCUCAAAUCAAAACCGGGAACAAAACUUCCCCGCAAGGGCCACCACACAAUUGGUGCCUCUUUCCUUGAUUACAAUGGAGUUUUGAUCACAAGAAUAAGUGAGAAAGAAAAGAAGCAAUCCAAGCGCAAGAGCUCAAAGGAACACGGCAAAUCUCUCUCGCUAAUCACUAAAGCCUUGAGUGGAAUUGGAGAGGAUUUGAUCUCUUUGGUGUGUCUAGAAUUGAAUGCCUAGCUCUCGUAAGUGGUUGAGAAGUUGAAAACUUGGAUGCAAUGAAUGGUGGGUGGUUGGGGGUAUUUAUAGCCCCAACCACCAAACUAGCCGUUUGGUGGGGCUGUCUGUCGCAUGGUGCACCGGACAGUCCGGUGCACACCGGACAUGUCCGGUGCGCCAGCCACGUCACCAAAGCCGUUGGGUUAUGACCGUUGGAGCUCUGUCUUCUGGGCCCGCCUGGAUGUCCGGUGGCGCACCGGACAUGCACUGUAGAGUGUCUGGUGCGCCAGCAUGGGCGUGCCUGACUUCUGCGCGCGCUGGCGCGCAUUUAAUGCGUCCGCAGGUAGCCGUUGGCGCCGAAGUAGCCGUUGCCCUGCUGUUACACCGGACAGUCCGGUGUACACCGGACAUGUCCGGUGAAUUAUAGCGGAGCAGCCGUCGCGAAUUCCCGAGGCUGCCAAGUUCCAGAGCCGCGUCCUCUUGGAGCACCGGACACUGUCCGGUGUACACCGGACAGUCCGGUGAAUUAUAGUGCGCCGGCUCUGAAAAUUCCCGAGGCUGAGGAGUUCAGCGCAAGGUCCCCUGGUGCACCGGACACUGUCCGGUGGCACACCGGACAGUCCGGUGCGCCAGACCAGGGAGCCUUUCGGGAUGCCUUUAGCUCUCUAUUUUGAACCCAACAUUGGUCCUUUUAAUUGGCUUGUUGUGAACCUUUGGCACCUGUAUAACUUAUACACUAGAGCAAACUAGUUAGUCCAAUUAUUUGUGUUGGGCAAUUCAACCACCAAAAUUAUUUAGGAACUAGGUGUAAGCCUAAUUCCCUUUCAAUCUCCCCCUUUUUGGUGAUUGAUGCCAACACAAACCAAAGCAAAUAUAGAAGUGCAAUUUGAACUAGUUUGCAUAAUGUACGUGCAAAGAUUGCUUGGAAUUGAGCCAACAUAAAUACUUAUAAGAUAUGCAUGGAUUGUUUCUUUGUUUUUAACAUUUUGGACCACGCUUGCACCACAGAUUUUGUUUUUGCAAAUUCUUUUGUAAAUCCUUUUCAAAGUUCUUUUGCAAAUAGUCAAAGGUAAAUGAAUAAGAUUUUAUGAAGCAUUUUCAAGAUUUGAAAUUUUCUCCCCCCUGUUUCAAAUGCUUUUCCUUUGACUAAACAAACCUCCCCCUAAAUGAGAUCCUCCUCUUAGUGUUCAAGAGGGUUUUGAUAUAUCAUUUUGAAAUACUACUUUCUCCCCCUUUUGAACAUAAUGAGAUACCAAUUUGAAGUUUACCAAUUGAAAAUCUCCAAUUUAAAAUUAGGUGGUGGUGGGUGGUGGUGCGGUCCUUUUGCUUUGGGCUCAUACUUUCUCCCCCUUUGGCAUGAAUCGCCAAAAACGGAAUCAUUAGAGCCCUAAGAAUUACUCUCUCCCCCUUUGGUAAUAAAUAAAUGAGUGAAGAUUAUACCAAAGACGGAGUCCUUUUGCUUGGUGCUCAUGCUUUCUCCCCCAGAAAUGGAGAGUUGCUUGGAGUGACAGCGAAGGAUGAGUUACGGAGUGGAAGCCUUUUGUCUUCGCCGAAGACUCCAAUUCCCUUUCAAUAUACCUAUGACUUGGUUUGAAAUAGACUUGAAAAACACAUUAGUCAUAGCAUAUGAAAGAGACAUGAUCAAAGGUAUACAAAUGAGCUAUGUGUGCAAUUUAGCAAAAGAAAUUGCGCGAAUCAAGAAUAUUGAGCUCAUGCCUAAGUUUGUUAAAAGUUUGUUCAUCAAGAGGCUUGGUAAAGAUAUCGGCUAAUUGAUCUUUAGUGUUAAUGUAAGAAAUCUCGAUAUCUCCCUUUUGUUGGUGAUCCCUAAGAAAAUGAUACCGAAUGGCUAUGUGUUUAGUGCGGCUAUGCUCGACGGGAUUAUCCGCCAUCUUGAUUGCACUCUCAUUAUCACAUAGCAAAGGGACUUUGGUUAAUUUGUAACCGUAGUCUCGCAGGGUUUGCCUCAUCCAAAGCAAUUGCGCGCAACAAUGGCCUGCGGCAAUGUACUCGGCUUCAGCGGUAGAAAGAGCAACGGAAUUUUGCUUCUUUGAAGCCCAAGACACCAAGGAUCUUCCCAAGAACUGGCAAGUCCCCGAUGUGCUCUUUCUAUUAAUCUUACACCCCGCCCAAUCGGCAUCCGAAUAACCAAUCAAAUCAAAUGUGGAUCCCCGAGGGUACCAAAGCCCAAACUUAGGAGUAUAAGCCAAAUAUCUCAAGAUUCAUUUUACGACCUUAAGGGUGGAUUCCUUAGGGUCGGAUUGGAAUCUUGCACACAUGCAAACGGAAAGCAUAAUGUCCGGUCGAGAUGCACAUAAAUAGAGUAAUGAACCUAUCAUCGACCGGUAUACCUUUUGAUCGACGGAUUUACCUCCCGUGUCGAGGUCGAGAUGCCCAUUGGUUCCCAUGGGUGUCUUGAUGGGCUUAGCAUCCUUCAUUCCAAACUUGGUUAGAAUGUCUUGAGUAUACUUCGUUUGGCUAAUGAAGGUGCCUUCUUGGAGUUGCUUGACUUGAAAUCCUAGAAAAUACUGCAACUCCCCCAUCAUCGACAUCUCGAAUUUUUGUGUCAUGAUCCUACUAAAUUCUUCACAUGUAGAUUCGUUAGUAGACCCAAAUAUAAUAUCAUCAACAUAAAUUUGGCAUACAAACAAAUCAUUGUCAAGAGUUUUAGUGAAUAAAGUAGGAUCGGCCUUGCCGACUUUGAAGCUAUUCGCUAUAAGGAAAUCUCUUAGGCAUUCAUACCAUGCUCUUGGGGCUUGCUUGAGCCCAUAAAGCGCCUUAGAGAGUCUAUAGACAUGGUUAGGAUACUCACUAUCUUCAAAGCCGGGAGGUUGCUCAACAUAGACCUCUUCCUUGAUUGGUCCAUUGAGGAAGGCACUUUUCACGUCCAUUUGAUAAAGCUUAAAGCCAUGGUAAGUAGCAUAGGCCAAUAAUAUACGAAUUGACUCAAGCCUAGCUACGGGUGCAUAGGUUUCACCGAAAUCCAAACCUUCGACUUGGGAGUAUCCCUUGGCCACAAGUCGAGCUUUGUUCCUUGUCACCACACCAUGCUCAUCUCGCUUGUUGCGGAAGACCCAUUUGGUUCCUACAACAUUUUGAUUAGGACAUGGAACUAAAUGCCAUACCUUAUUCCUAGUGAAGUUGUUGAGCUCCUCUUGCAUCGCCACCACCCAAACCGAAUCUUGGAGUGCUUCCUCUACCCUGUGGGGCUCAAUAGAGGAAACAAAAGAGUAAUGCUCACAAAAAUGUGCAACACGAGAUCGAGUGGUUACCUCCUUAUGAAUGUCGCCGAGGAUGGUGUCGACGGGGUGAUCUCGUUGGAUUGCUUGGUAGACUCUUGGGUGUGGCGACCUUUGUUCUUCAUCCUCCUUGUCUUGAUCAUUUGCAUCUCCCCCUUGAUCAUUGCCGUUAUCUUGAGGUGGCUCAUUUGCUUGAUCUUCUAUUUCAUCAACUUGAGCUUCAUCCUCAUUUUGAGUCGGUGGAGAUGCUUGCGUGGAGGAGGAUGGUUGAUCUUGUGCAUUCGGAGGCUCUUCGGAUUCCUUAGGACACACAUCCCCAAUGGACAUGUUCCUUAGCGCGAUGCAAGGAGCCUCUUCAUUACCUAUCUCAUCAAGAUCAACUUGCUCUACUUGAGAGCCGUUAGUCUCAUCAAACACAACGUCACAAGAAACUUCAACUUGUCCAAUGGACUUGUUAAAGACUCUAUAUGCCCUUGUGUUUGAAUCAUAUCCUAGUAAAAAGCCUUCUACAGUCUUAGGAGCAAAUUUAGAUUUUCUACCUCUUUUAACAAGAAUAAAACAUUUGCUACCAAAGACUCUAAAAUAUGAAAUAUUGGGCUUUUUACCGGUUAGGAGUUCAUAAGAUGUCUUCUUGAGGAUUCGGUGUAGAUAUAACCGGUUGAUGGCGUAGCAGGCGGUGUUGACCGCCUCGGCCCAAAACUGAUCCGAAGUCUUGUACUCAUCAAGCAUGGUCCUUGCCAUGUCCAAUAGAGUUCGAUUCUUCCUCUCCACUACACCAUUUUGUUGUGGCGUGUAGGGAGAAGAGAACUCAUGCUUGAUGCCCUCCUCCUCAAGGAAGCCUUCAAUUUGAGAGUUCUUGAACUCUGUCCCGUUGUCGCUUCUAAUUUUCUUGAUCCUUAAGCCGAACUCAUUUUGAGCCCGUCUCAAGAAUCCCUUUAAGGUCUCUUGGGUUUGCGAUUUUUCCUGCAAAAAGAAUACCCAAGUGAAGCGAGAAUAAUCAUCCACUAUUACAAGACAAUACUUACUCCCGCCGAUGCUUAUGUAAGCAAUCGGGCCGAAUAGAUCCAUGUGGAGUAGCUCAAGCGGCCUGUCGGUCGCCAUGAUGUUCUUGUGUGGAUGAUGGGCACCAAUUUGCUUUCCUGCUUGGCAUGCGCUACAAACCCUGUCUUUCUCAAAAUGAACAUUGGUUAGUCCUAAAAUGUUUUCUCCCUUUAGAAGCUUGUGAAGACUCUUCAUCCCAACAUGGGCUAGUCGGCGGUGCCAGAGCCAACCCAUGUUAGUCUUAGCAAUUAAGCAAGUGUCGAGUUCAGCUCUAUCAAAAUCUACUAAGUAUAGCUGACCCUCCAACACUCCCUUAAAUGCUAUUGAAUCAUCACUUCUUCUAAAGACAGUGACAUCUACAUCAGUGAAAAGACAAUUGUAACCCAUUUUGCAUAAUUGAGAUACAGAAAGCAAAUUGUAAUCUAAUGAAUCUACAAGAAAAACAUUGGAAAUAGAAUGGUCAGGAGAUAUAGCAAUUUUACCCAACCCUUUGACCAAACCUUGAUUUCCAUCCCCGAAUGUGAUAGCUCGUUGGGGAUCUUGGUUUUUCUCGUAGGAGGAGAACAUCUUCUUCUCCCCAGUCAUGUGGUUUGUGCACCCGCUAUCGAUGAUCCAACUUGAGCCCCCGGAUGCAUAAACCUACAAAACAAGUUUAGUUCUUGACUUUAGGUACCCAAACGGUUUUGGGUCCUUUGGCAUUAGAAACAAGAACUUUGGGUACCCAAACACAAGUCUUGGAGCCCUUGUGUUUGCCCCCAACAAACUUGGCAACUACCUUGCCGGAUUUGUUAGUUAAAACAUAUGAUGCAUCAAAAGUUUUGAAUGAAAUAUCAUGAUCAUUUGAUGCAUUAGGAGUUCUCCUUUUAGGCAACUUAGCACGGGUUGGUUGCCUAGAGCUAGAUGUCUCACCCUUAUACAUAAAUGCAUGAUUAGGGCCAGAGUGUGACUUCCUAGAAUGAAUUCUCCUAAUUUUGCUCUCGGGAUAACCGGCAGGGUAUAAAAUGUAACCCUCGUUAUCCUGAGGCAUGGGAGCCUUGCCCUUAACAAAAUUAGACAAUUUUUUAGGAGGGGCAUUAAGUUUGACAUUGUCUCCCCUUUGGAAGCCAAUGCCAUCCUUGAUGCCAGGGCGUCUCCCAUUAUAAAGCAUACUACGAGCAAAUUUAAAUUUUUCAUUCUCUAAGUUAUGCUCGGCAAUUUUGGCAUCUAAUUUUGCUAUAUGAUCAUUUUGUUGUUUAAUUAAAGCCAUGUGAUCAUGAAUAGCAUUAACAUCAACAUCUCUACAUCUAGUACAAAUAGAAGUGUGCUCAACGGUAGAUGUAGAGGUUUUGCAAGACUUUAAUUCUACAACCUUAGCAUGCAAUAUAUCUGUUGGUGACUUGUUCUCAAAAGCUAUGAGUUAAGAACAAGGCAACACAGAAAAUGUUAAUUGGUAAAGUCCUUCGUCCUUCGAAGCAUUAUCUCCCUUCGGAUAUAAUGGAUUUCGGACGAAGGUUAUGAAGGGCAAACCUUCAUAAUCAUAAUAAAAGAUGAAGAAAGAUUCAUAUACAAAAUAUGGAAAAUAGCAUAAUCACUUUAAACAUUAUUAUCAAUUUAUUUUUAUUUAUACUACUUGUGUAAGCAAUAACAAAUUACAAAUGUACCUUCGGCUUGAAGGAAAGUAAGAAUACGAGCGUGAUGCUAGAGCGAAUGCCAAGUCAGCGUCAAUAGUACGGGGAUACUGUUCACCUAUUUAUAGGCACGGGACACAGCCCAUACAGAAUUACAUUCAUGCCCUUUACAUUUGGUAAUAAUUCUAUAGUAAUCCACCGAGGUCUGAAUGGCCUUUUCAUCUUUAAGUCGGUUCCAUUUUCUGCCACCACGCCGAAGCUUUCCCGCUCACAUCUUCGGCGCUGUAUCAACCUUUGUAUUAUUUUGGGCUUCUCCUACUGCGAUACCGACUCGAGUUCGAAGAUACCUGUUUACACAUUAUACUCCAGAAAUACUGUUAAAUCAUGUUUUUGAGGACCUUCGUAAGCCGAAGGCCCCCAACAGUAGCCCCUCACAAUAUUAAUUUGUUAAAAUAAUAAAUUUAGAUUGCGACAUGGACGAAGGCUUUAAGCCGAAGGUCCGAAAAAACACCUUCCCUUUGCUAGAAUAGCAACAUUCACUGACAGGCGAGGUCUUUCAAUUUUCAACGCACUGGGCGUAUAAAUAAGAGCAUACCGCAAGCUCAUUUGGCACGCUUUCUUGCCAUCUGCUCUCGCUCACUCAAUUUUUAGCUCUUGCGCACCAAGAUUUGCUUUAGCUUUUUAAGUUUUGAAGCUUCGGCAAUUGAAAACAGUUUUUUAGCGUUUCCGAAGAUGUCUGAAGAUAAGAAGGCUGCUGCCGAGAUGAAGCUGAGUCUUUCUGAAGAGAAGAAUCUGGGGUUUCUUAUAGCAAUGUCGAAGACCAAUACAGAAAAAAUCACCAAAGAGAUUUUAGAAGGUUUGUCUGAAGAUACUGAUGACAGCGACAGUUAUGAUGUGGAUAGCGACGGUGAAGACUCCGAAGAUCGCCCCUGGCGACCAAGCCAUUAAGUUUUUGGCAAAUCAGGUAUCAAAGAGAAUCAUCUUGUCAACAUGAGAGAAAGAUAUUUCCGGGACUUAUCCAUUGUGAGGGUUGACGAAGGAGAGAAAACUUGUCCGACUCCUGAGGAAAUUGAAGUCGUAGUGUUCCGAAGCUUUUUGAAAGCUGGACUACGAUUUCCCCUGAGCAGCUUUGUCGUAGAGGUGCUUAAAAUAUUCGAAGUCUAUCUUCACCAACUUACCCCCGAAGCAAUCGUAAGGCUGAAUAUCUUCGUGUGGGCCGUGAGAAGCCAAGGUCUGGAACCUGAUGCGAAAAGUUUCUGCAACAUACACGAAUUGUUAUACGAGACAAAACCUUGGGGUAAGGAACAGUAUCACAAUAAUUUUGGCUGCUACAGUUUCGUUUCUCGAUCUGGGUCAAGCUGUCCCGUGCCAACCUUUCGGAAGAGAUGGCCCGACGACUGGAUGACAGAAUGGUUUUAUGUGAAGAAUGACCUGAAAGUACGAGAAGAUAUCAAAGGUAUAAUUAUGCGCCCCAUUUGGCAAAGCUUCGGCCUGCGGAGACCGAAGGUUGAAAUGAAUGAAGCCGCCGAAGAAUGCCAGAGAGCCUUCGGAGUUAUCUGUUCUUUUAUUGGAACAAGAGAUUUGGUCCAGGAGCAUAUUGCCUUCAGAGUAUGGCCGCUUGCGGAAAAAUGGGAAAUGCCGCAAGAAACCAUAAAGGAGGCUGACGAAGGUGGACUUAUCAGGCUGAAGUAUACUUUUAAGUUCGGAGAUAAAUUCGUUGAGCCAGAUGAUGACUGGCUAAAAAGCAUUGAAAAUUUAAGUGAUGAACUGCUUGGGGCUUACUCGAAGGCCGAAGAUACUGCAUUGUCAGCAGCCUUCGGAGGCCGAAAAAAGAAAAGACUGAACCGGGUGUUUGACGCAAUCGGGUUCGUCUACCCUGACUAUCGUUAUCCUAUUCGAGGGCAGAAAAGAAAAAACACAACCUCUGCGAAAGAAGAGGCUGCAACUGCUCCUAAUGAGCCAGCACCGAAAAGAAAAAGGAUAAAAGUCCUCACACAUCGGCCACGCUAUAUUGAACCAGCCUCGGUGCCUGAGUUCGUCGGAGAGACCUCUUCGGCCACCGAAGCUGAAAAGCCAAUCAAGCCAACCUUGCUGCCAGAAGUCACAGAAAUGGCCGAAGCGUCAACAAAAACUGAAUUGGAAGAACCAAAGAUUUUGUUAUCAGAAACCAAAGAGAUGGCCGAAGCGCCAUUGUCAGAAAAAAUGGAAGAAGCAAAAGGAUCAGCUGAAGGAUCAAAAAUAUCAGAAGUUUUAAGUCCUUCAUCAAAUGUUGAGACAACAAAAAUCCAAAAGGGGCCAGCGGUGACUCCGAAAAGAAAGAGAAUGGUCAAUGUAUUAGAUGUUCUAGAAACAAUUAAGUCUUCAAGCACAACUCCGAAGAAGACUGUUGCAAUUUCCGAAGCAAAAACUGAAAUUUCUGAUACUAAGGCUUCAGAGCAAGAAUCUGAAGCUGAAGCUGGGCCCCCAGAGCCCACGAAAGUAAAAUCCUUGGAAACCGAGGAAAAAAGAAUAACGAAGCCAAUUCUUGUUGAAGAAAUCAGUGCUAUUGCCCCCGAAGCAUCUCCCAAAGUCCUUGAUUAUAUUGUCCGUCAUGCUUCGGGGAAAAAAAUAUCAGAAAAAGAAAAGCAAGAGGCCCAGCUUUAUGCCCAAAAACUGAAGUAUCCAAAGGGGGCAUUAAUAUUCAACGGCAGUGGAGAAGAAGACUUUUUGUAUUGUCUUCCUGACAGCAAGGAGAUUUCUGUCUGUCGGGAGAUGAGCAAGAGCUUCGGAUUCCCAACACUAGAAGACGGGCUCUCGGUGCUGUCGAAAAACGAACUGGCCGACAGCCUGGCAUACAAUAGCUUAAAGGUGCAAGAAAUGAGAUCUUUGUAUUUUUUCUUAAGACCAAAAUUUUUCGUUUGCUUAAAUCUAUUGAUGCACACACAUUUUCCUUUGCAGGGCCUUAUACUUAGCAAUGCCCUCAGGGCCCAAAAAGAUGCCGAAGAUGAAGGGUGUGCUAUAGCCCUGAGCAACCUUCGUUCCGAAGUAAUUGAACUGAGGAACGAAGGUCUCGAAAAAGAUAAAAUAUUACAUUCAUUGAUAAAUAGAAUAAAGGAAGACGAAGCUACUUUUAAAGGUCAAGCUGAGGCUCAGAAGCGUGAAAUUGAAGAUCUUCGAAAACAACUGGCCAGAGCCAAAGAGCAACGCAUACUUGAAGAAACGAAGCGAGAACUUAGCGACCAAUGGGCAAAUCAUUUAGAGGGAACUGUUGAAGAGCUUCGCUCAUCCAAGAAAAGAUGUUAUACCAAAUCUAUGGAGUGUGUUAAGAAGUUGAAAGCUAGCUUCGCCAGCGUCGGCGCAUUCUCGAGCGAAGAAAACUUUACUAGAGGCAACCCCGAAGGUCCCAUCGAAUGGAUUACUCACGAAGCUGAGGCCUUCGAGGAAAUUUUAAAUAGCCGCGGAGACAUAUGUGCUUUCUCGGGUGCCAGGGGAAUUGCCACCAUUUUGGAGAAAAAGGGCUGCGAACAUGUAAAGAUUUUAGCGCAAUCCGAAGCUACCUUAUCCUUCGAAGAUGCAAGAGAUCCUUCAGCCGAAGCUAGCAUGGUUGGUGGAAAAUUUUUCACCGAUGUCUGGGAUAAUGGUGGCCGAGAAAUGGCCCGAGAAAUUAUCCGAAAAAGCGAAAAGGGUAUUCACGAUGCUAGAGAAGUAGCUGAGGCUGUUGAAAAAAACGCAGAACCCGAAGAGCAAAUAGGUAUUAACUAAUGGUUUUUAUUGUGUUGUAAUUUUUGAUUUUAAACUUCAUUCACAAUUUGUAAUAGCAAUGUAGCCGUAUCCUGUCCUCCUUCAGAUCCUACUAAAACAUCUCCGGGCCCCCACCCGAAAGGAGAUGACGAAAUUAAAAAGAUGGCUGAAGCUAUCAUGGAUGAAGUUGUUGAUCGGCUACUGAACGAAGCUGCGGAAGUUGUUCUGAGAGAAGAUUAAGUACUAUUGUAAAAACUUCUGGAAUGUAACAUGUGUAACAUCUUGCAGCCCUAAAUAUAAUAUACCUGUUUUUAUUGUUCAGUUCUUUACGAUGCAUGAAAUUUUACAUACGUACCGUUUUUGAGUCGUUGACGAAAAAACACCUUCCCUUCUUUUCAUGCUUCGUGAAGAAGAAUUUUUAUUUAUCUCAACAAUAUCCGUAGUGCUCUGAUGAAUAAUAUCCAAGCUUCGUGAAGAUAUUUUCUGAAGCUACACUUCCGAAGAUCAAUAGUGUAUCUGCUUACGACUUAGCAUGAUUUUCUCCUUUUUUUUUAAAAAAAACAUUCUUCUGAAGAUCAAUAUUGUGUCCCCUUCUUGUGCCAUAUGCAGCAUGAUGUAUGAUGCUUAUGCUAUGCGAAAUGAUGUAAUGAUGUUAUGCUAUGUAAGAUGGUAUUUAUUCCAAAGAUACACGCACAUCCCUGCGAUAAAACACAUAAUCUUUCUGAAUCAGCUUUGACUUUUUGCUAUAAGCCUCCCUUAGGAGCUUCUUCGCCUUUUACUUCAGCGGAGUCAGCGUUUAUUUUUCGCUGUAAGCCUCCCUUAGGAGCUUCUUCGCCUUUUACUUUCAGCGGUAUUCGCGUUGACUUUUCGCGCUUCGCCUUUUACUUUAGGCGGUAUCAGCGUUGACUUUUCGCUGUAAGCUCUGCAUUCCCUUUGGAACGACUUUGGAGCAGAAAACUUACACUGCGCUCCCUUUGGAACGACUUUUUAUGACUUCAUCAAACUUACUCUGCGUUCCUUAGAACGACUUUUUGUUGCUUCGAAGAAUUUUUGAUAAUUCGAAGGUCCUCCUUGUUAUCGCAAAUCUUUAAGCUUUAACAACUUAAGCCUGUGGAGAAAGUAUAUUUUCCUUGUGGCAAACAACGAAACUAUUACAUGAAAUCUAAAAAAUGUCCUUUAUUACGUAGAAAAUAAAACUGAAUGAAAAAGACUGCUAUCCAGGUAGGAUAUUUGUCAAUAGAUGUGCUUUGACUCUGGCACAGUGCUGUUGACUGUGCGAGCUUCGGACUGUUCUCUGAAGUCCCUUUGGUGUGGAGCAUAUUGGCUCCCUUCUGGCUGUUGGCCCUGUUGUAGCGGUGGUGGAGGCGGAGGCUGUUGCCAGGAAGCUUGAGGUUGACUCGCCGAAGCAACAGAAACUGCAGGGUGGUUGCCUACAUAUUCUGGGAUGUAAGGCGAAUGAUACGAAGCAGUGUGCAUAACCUGCUUCAGCUGAGCCUGUUGUGCCGCAACUUCGGCUAUUUCCUUUUGCUUCUGGAUGGUAACAUGGCACAUCCUGGUGGUAUGGCCCUUGUUCUCACCACAGAACAAGCAAAAAAUUCUUCUUGGUUGAUCUCCAAAUCUUCCGCCGAAGCCCCUGGCGCCUCUGCCUCUUGGAGCUGGUGGUCGGAAGGAGCCUUGCUGUUGCCCCGAAGCUUGUGAGGAGCACUGUGGCCUUUGUUGCUGACUCCCCUUAUCAUCAUUUUGAGCAGAGUUAUGGAUUGACCUAACGUGCCUCGGAUAGAAUCUUCCUCCGAAGCCCCUGGUCAUUUCAGAAAACCUGAAAGCCUCCUCCCUUCUUUGAUGAAAAUCAUUAUCGGCCCGAAUAUACUCGUCCAUCUUCUGGAGCAGCUUCUCCAAAGUUUGAGGAGGCUUCCUAGCAAAGUACUGAGCUGAAGGUCCUGGCCAAAGCCCCUUGAUCAUGGCCUCAAUGACAAUUUCGUUGGGCACUGUUGGUGCCUGUGCCCUCAAACGCAAGAACCUUCGGACGUACGCCUGAAGGUAUUCUUCGUGAUCUUGGGUGCACUGAAAUAGAGCUUGAGCAGUGACCGGCUUCGUCUGAAACCCUUGGAAGCUGGUUAACAACAAGUCCUUCAGCUUUUGCCAUGAAGUGAUCGUUCCUGGUCGAAGGGAGGAAUACCAGGUUUGAGCAACACUCCUGACAGCCAUAACAAAAGAUUUGGCCAUGACUGCAGCAUUGCCACCAUACGAAGAUACUGUUGCUUCGUAGCUCAUCAAAAACUGCUUCGGGUCUGAGUGGCCAUCAAAUAUGGGAAGCUGAGGCGGCUUGUAGGACGGAGGCCAAGGUGUAGCCUGCAACUCAGCGGACAGAGGAGAAGCAUCAUCAAAAACAAAAUUCCCAUGAUGGAAAUUGUCAUACCAGUCAUCUUCGUUGAGGAAACCCUCCUGAUGAAGGUCUUGGUGUUGAGGCCUUCAGUGUUGCUCAUCCUGAGUAAGAUGACGAACUUCUUCAGAGGCUUCGUCUAUCUGCCGUUGCAGUUCAGCUAGCCUGGCCAUCUUUUCCUUCUUCCUCUGCACCUGUUGAUGAAGCAUCUCCAUGUCUCUGAUUUCUUGGUCUAUCUCAUCCUCUGGUGGUGUCGGGCUAACAGCCUUCCUUUUCUGGCUUCGGGCCUCCCGAAGGGAGACAGUCUCCUGAUUGUGAUCCAGCGGUUGCAGAGCUGCAGCCCCAGUUGUUGAAGCUUUCUUCGGCGCCAUAGCGAAGGUUUAUGAUCGCCGAAGGUAUUCAAAAACUCAAGGAAUGGAAGUGAGUUCACCGGAGGUGGGCGCCAAUGUUGGUGACUUGUUCUCAAAAGCUAUGAGUUAAGAACAAGGCAACACAUAAAAUGUUAAUUAGUAAAGUCCUUCGUCUUUCGAAGCAUUAUCUCCCUUCGGAUAUAAUGGAUUUCGGACGAAGGUUAUGAAGGGCAAACCUUCAUAAUCAUAAUAAAAGAUGAAGAAAGAUUCAUAUACAAAAUAUGGAAAAUAGCAUAAUCACUUUAAACAUUAUUAUCAAUUUAUUUUUAUUUAUACUACUUGUGUAAGCAAUAACAAAUUACAAAUGUACCUUCGGCUUGAAGGAAAGUAAGAAUACGAGCGUGAUGCUAGAGCGAAUGCCAAGUCAGCGUCAAUAGUACGGGGAUACUGUUCACCUAUUUAUAGGCACAGGACACAGCCCAUACAGAAUUACAUUCAUGCCCUUUACAUUUGGUAAUAAUUCUAUAGUAAUCCACCGAGGUCUGAAUGGCCUUUUCAUCUUUAAGUCGGUUCCAUUUUCUGCCACCACGCCGAAGCUUUCCCGCUCACAUCUUCGGCGCUGUAUCAACCUUCGUAUUAUUUUGGGCUUCUCCUACUGCGAUACCGACUCGAGUUCGAAGAUACCUGUUUACACAUUAUACUCCAGAAAUACUGUUAAAUCAUGUUUUUGAGGACCUUCGUAAGCCGAAGGCCCCCAACAAUAUCAUUCUUAGUUCUAUGGUCGGAAAUAGUAGUAUUGCAAACAUCAAAAUCUUUAGCCUUAGCAAGCAAUUUUUCAUUCUCAAUUCUAAGGCUAGCAAGAGAAAUAUUCAACUCAUCAAUCCUAGCAAGCAAAUCAAUAUUAUCAUCUCUAGAAUUGGAAGUUGAAACAUUACAAAUAUGAGAAUCAACCUUAGCAAUUAAUUUGGCAUUUUCAUUUCUAAGGUUGGUAAUAGUGUCAUGGCAUGUGCUUAGCUCACUAGAUAAUUUCUCACAUUUUUCUAUUUCUAGAGCAUAAGCAUUUUUAACCUUAACAUGUUUCUUAUUUUCCUUAAUUAGGAAGUCCUCUUGGGAAUCCAAAAGGUCAUCCUUUUCAUGAAUAGCACUAAUUAAUUCAUUUAAUUUUUCCUUUUGUUCCAUGUUAAGGUUGGCAAAAAGGGUACGCAAGUUAUCCUCCUCAUCACUAGCAUUAUCAUCACUAGAAGACUCAUAUUUAGUGGAUGAUUUGGAUUUAACCUUCUUCCUCUUGCCGUCCUUUGCCAUGAGGCACUUGUGGCCGACGUUGGGGAAGAGGAGUCCCUUGGUGACGGCGAUGUUGGCGGCGUCCUCGUCGUCGGAGGAGUCGGUGGAGCUCUCGUCGGAGUCCCACUCGCGGCACACGUGAGCAUCGCCGCCCCUCUUCUUGUGAUACCUCUUCUUUUCUCUCCUCUUGCCCUUCUUGUCGUCACCCCUGUCACUGUCACUUGAUAAUGGACAUUUAGCAAUAAAGUGACCGGGCUUACCACACUUGUAGCAAACCUUCUUGGAACGGAAUUUGUAAUCCUUCCCCUUCCGUUGCUUGAGGAUUUGGCGAAAGCUUUUGAUGAUUAAAGCCAUCUCCUCGUUGUCGAGCUUUGAAGCGUCCAUUGGUUGUCUACUUGGUGUAGACUCCUCCUUCUUUUCCUCCGUCGCCUUGAAUGCCACCGGUUGUGCUUCGGAUGUGGAGGGAUCAUCAAGCUCGUUGAUCUUCUUUGAGCCCUUGAUCAUACACUCAAAGCUCACAAAAUUCCCGAUAACUUCCUCGGGAGUCAUUAGUGUGUAUCUAGGAUUACCACGAAUUAAUUGAACUUGAGUGGGGUUAAGGAAGAUGAGUGAUCUAAGAAUAACCUUAACCACCUCGUGGUCAUCCCAUUUCUUGCUCCCGAGGUUGCGCACUUGGUUCACCAAGGUCUUGAGCCGGUUGUACAUAUCUUGUGGCUCCUCCCCUUGGCGAAGACGGAAGCGACCGAGCUCCCCCUCGAUCGUUUCCCGCUUGGUGAUCUUGGUGAGUUCAUCACCCUCGUGCGCGGUCUUGAGUAGAUCCCAAAUCUCCUUCGCAUUCUUCAACCCUUGCACCUUGUUAUAUUCCUCUUUACUUAGAGAGGCGAGGAGUAUGGUUGUGGCUUGGGAGUUGAAGUGCUCGAUUUGGACUACUUCAUCCUCAUCAUAGUUUUCAUCCCCUACAGAUGGUACCUGUGCACCAAACUCAACAACAUCCCAUAUACUUUUGUGGAGUGAGGUUAGAUGAAAUCGCAUUAAAUCACUCCACCUAGCAUAAUCUUCACCAUCAAAUGUUGGUGGUUUGCCUAAUGGGACGGAAAGUAAAGAUGUGUGUUUAGGAAUGCGAGGGUAGCGUAGGGGGAUCUUACUAUACUUCUUACGCUCUUGGCGUUUUGAAGUGACAGAUGCCGCGUCGGAGCCGGAGGUAGAUGCCGAUGAAGAAUCGGUCUCGUAGUAGACCACCUUCCUCAUCCUCUUUUUCUUGUCCCCACUCCGAUGUGGCUUGUGGGAAGAAGAUUUGUCCUUCUUCUCUUUGUGGUGUGAAGAAGAUUUCUUCUCCUUCCCUUUGGAGGAGUCCUUCUUCUUCUCCUUUCUCUUGAUGCGGGACUCUUCCGAUGAAGUGCUCCCGUGGCUUGUAGUGGGCUUUUCGCCGGUCUCCAUCUCCUUCUUGGCGUGAUCUCCCAACAUCACUUCGAGCGGUUAGGCUCUAAUGAAGAACCGGGCUCCGAUACCAAUUGAUAGUCGCCUAGAGGGGGGGGGUG
rnacentral:lncRNA from 1 species